rnacentral:lncRNA from 1 species
GGCCACACUGCUGUCACAUAUGUUACUAACCACGUGACGGUAAAGAGCCGUUCGGUAUAGCACUAUUUUAGAAAUUUAAAUUUAUUUCCAGUUAGAAAACUAUUCGCUGGAAUAGCCACCAUCGUAAACCUAACUGGUUGCCGGCGAACGGCGUAAAACACCGGGCAUCUUCUUCUUCAUCGUAUUCUCCCUUCAUCUUUUGAGGUAAGCUUGUGAUUAUGAGUUUCUUCUCUGACUUAGCUUGUAAUUAUAGAUUUUGAUUUUUUUUUUUAAAUUCGUAUUGUAGCCAUUAUUGUCAAUUUUUGUCCCGCCAGCAAUAUUUUUUUAUUCCUACAAGUUGAAGCCCCUGUGUUCUUGUUCCAUUGGUGAGUUUGCUCACUCAAAUUAAUUUUGUUCUGCGGAAUUUACAAAGUUCAAAUGGAUUCAUUUGAAUUACUAUUGAAUUUAGCUUUAAUUCCAACAUCCAUUCUAAUGUUUUGCUAUUAGAUUUAGUUUAAUUUUAUGUUUAAAGCAUCUACAAUGAAUAGCGGAGCUUGGGUUUUAGUUUCAUUUUCUGGAUAACUUGUUUUAGUUUAUCUUGUAUGCUCACCAAGUGCUUGUUAUAUUGUCUGAUAAGUUAUAUACAUUGCUGAUUCUAUAUUAAUAAUGUUACGUUCUAUUUUCAGAAAUUAUAAUACAAAAGUUUUUACAAUGGCGUGCAUCUACAAACUGAAUUGACUUGUAGAAUAAGAGCUUGCAGUAAAUGAAAGUUCAUAUUGUGUAAGAGCAUGGAGAUGUAAAGCAUCAUUACCAUAUCUACAAAGUGCUUUCAUUAUGGUCAGAUGCUCUUCUUGAACUUUGAAAGGUGCCUCGUUCAAGUCCUAGCUAUAACUACUAGCUUUGAUUAAUUAAGUUCCAAUACUAGCUGAAACAGAUUUAUUUAAUUAAUUAAUUGUGUAUAUACUAAUUAUAUUGAAAGUAUAUGAAACUUUUUUUUUUUUUAAACAUGAAUGACUUCUAAAUGACUUAAAAACCUAAAGGAUGUGUGAAAUAAUGCUCAUUUCACUUGAAUGAGCCUAUUAAUACUUUCUAUGAUUGUCAAUAUUGGCUUAAGCAUUUCAGUUAAGUGGUUUACCUAACAGAGAAAAAAAUUUAAUAGAAAACUUCAGAGUUCUAACAGAAAUAUAGUUCACUCUGCAGAUAUAGUUAUUUUACGGUAUACAAAUUAAGUUGUCCUAAUCUCAAUGUCCUGUGACCGAUUUUAUUUUAUAUAGUCAUUAAUUUUUGCCAUGGUUUUUUGUGUUUAUGAGUAUGAAAUAGUGGGAUUUGGUGUACCUUAGCAUCUUUUGAAAAUUCUCUUUAAGUAUGGCCAACAGAAAUAUACAUAUAAUCAAGUUUCUUAAUUGUGUAUAUUAGUUUUGGGUACGAAUGUUCCUAUUCUAGUUCUAGACAAAGCUUCUUUGUUUUGGUCUUCAGAUUUCCAGUAGGUUAAGUUAAUCAACUAUCAUAACUGGCUAGCUACUUAUUGUCUGCCUUGGCGCCAUUACCCAGGCCAUUAUAUUGCAUAGCAUAAGGAAUAGUGAUUAGGUGAUUAUUAGUGAUUUGUUGAGCUUAUUAUUGACCAAACAAACAUAUUCGCCUUUGCCCACAACCUAGUUUGAUUAGUUUUAGACCACAAAGAGCCUUGAUCUAUUCAUUGGCUUUAUUAUUUUUAUUUGGUUUUUCUUUCAACAAUAUUUUUGAUUUCUUAUAAAAAUAUUCAUUGGUUUUUAAACACCUAGUCAUUGGCUAUAUGAAGCAAAUUAAAACUGAGGCUUUGGAUCAAUUUCUUCUAACAAGAUACAAAUGAGCAUAACCUUUCUCCUCUAAGUAAUUUUUUUUAAUAUCCUUGAUUUGUAAGGAUCUGGAGGCCUGAAAUCCUCUAGAUUUUUUUUAACACUGUCAAUGUCCUUUUUAUUCUGAAAAGGAAAUAAAAGGUUUUAUCUUUCAUACCCUAAUAGUAGGCUGGCCUUGUCUUAACAUGGCUUCUUGAGGAUUUGCAAGAUUCAUAGUUCCCCCAACACACGCCCCCCAAAAAAAAAGAAGAAAAAGAAAGAAAAAAGAAAAAAGGAAGAUUUUGCAAGAUUCACCACCAGUUUUUUUUUUUAAUUUAUUAAUUGUGUGUACGUACUAGUUAUAUGUUGAAAGAAUAGGCAGAAGUAUUUCAACAUGAAUGACAUAAAACUUAUUGCUCAGUAAACAUAAUCUGCAUCAGUGGGAAAAUGUAUUUAUCGUUUGUAUUUUUUAUGGUUUUGCUUAAGAAAUGAUAUGUGAAAUAAUGCUACAUUGUAUCAGGAAUAAAUUGAAGAGAUUUAUGAUAUUUAUGUGUUAUUCAAAUUUCAGAUUCAAUUUUAAACUUUUGAUACGUGCAUUGAAAGCUUAGACUUGUUUAAGAAAUUAUUAAUAGACACAUGUUGUAUUAGUGUCAUCUUUGGAUGAUAGUGAGGAUCAUAUGUCUAUUAAUAAUUCUUGAAUUGUCCAGGCUUGGACAGUUUGGGAAUGCAUAGUUCUCUCUGGUAGCUAGUAGCUGAAGUUUUCUUCCCACGUAAAAAUGGCUUUUUCGGUAGCUGCUCCUCGUGUUCUCUGGGUACGUACUAGGUGAAUGGGUGUCAUGUGUUGUUUUGGCAUAACGCAUAAACACUUAUAUAGCUUUGUCGUGAGCUUGGAGAAUUAUAGGGAGAUGGUGCUGAAAUUUUUAUAAACGUAGAAGAAAACUUUAGGUACUUGAGAUUGAAAAAACAUAUGCAUUCUUGAGUGGGAUAUGUAGGAUUUAUCACUUACCUUUGGUAAAUAUGAAGGGAAUGUUGACUCCUUGAAAUAUGCCCAAACCCAUGGAGUAUCUAAAUAAGUCUGAAAACCAAACACUGUUACCUACUAGACGACAAAGCAGAAAAAUUUUCUUGACUCGCUCACCUUUUAAAUAAUUGAAACUCAGCUCAAUACUUGAAUAAGUUUCUGCAGGCACAUCUUCGAAGUUUACCAUUGAAGGCGUUCGGAGCUCUCGCAAGGCAUUCUUCCAUUCAUGGAGACUCUAGUUUCUCAGUGCCCUCAACGCAAUGGGCAAACCUCCAUAUGCCUUAACUACAUUAAUUGCUGUAGACUUGAACUUACAAUUUUCAACAUCAUCACCAUUCAUUAUCUUAAACAAUCUCCAGGCUUCUUGUUCAGUUAGAUUGCCAAUCAAAAAGUUAUCUUUGGAGUCCAUACUUAAAAGCACAUUAUUAUCUCUUGCUGUCAGCAAUAGUCUACAUCCUUUAUGAUUAUUUCCAAAAGGAAUUCCAACCGUCUCCAAAUCAAGAUGUUUCCAGAUAUUAUCUAGAAUCACAAGAAUCUUAUUCUCACUCUUCAAUCGUUCAUACAGCCUACUAGCUCUUCUAUAUUCAGCUUCAUCGGACAACUCCAGACCUAACUUCUCUGCAAUUUCCCCUUGAAUCUUUUUUAUCUCUGGAGUUUAUGAAACCUCUGAUAAAACCACCCCAUAAAACAGCUUUUUUCCCUGGCUUGCCUAGCAAACUCUUUCACCAGUGUGGUCUUUCCAAUGCCGCCUAUGCCGUACACCCCAAUAAUGCUGACAUUCGCCUCCGUCAAUGCAUUUUUAAUAGACUGCAAAGUAGAAAGUCUUGAUUCGAAGGCCUCGUAACCACUGCUAGACUUAAGCCAUAUCUCCUCCGGAAUGGUACGGUGGGAAACAGUAUCAAACUUCUUAACUUCUUCUCCAAGUUCAAUAAUGGCCUUCACCUCCGUCUCUGCUUUCUUGCUAAGCUGAUAGCGACUCUUCCAAUGAGGACUCAAGCCCUUGACACAGCGCUUAUUCGUUGACUCCUCAUCUUCAAUGAAUUUGGCUGCCCGGUCAAUGAUGCCGUUCGCACUUCGCAGUAACCAGCCACUUUUCAACCUUCUCUUCAAUCUCUUCCCCUUUUUCUUUCGCCUCUGAAACCCUGCGCUGAAUGCUCGUAUGUUCAACCUUCAACUUCUCCAUUUCCGCCUUGAUAUUCUCAAAGUUGGCAUUGUAGUUCCAAAUAAACAAGUUGGCGUGCAGUUGGAGGAGCCAAGCAUUUUACAAGUUCCAAGACGAUAGUCACAAUGAUUUCCAGCAUCUCGAAUCCUGACAAAAACGUAGAAGCGAAGAAAGCCAAAGGAAAGUAAAAACAAAGAGACAGCGAUAGGACAAGCAAUUGUGUUUUUCAGAUGAGAUGAAGGAAACAAGAAAAGGGUUUCUAUCACGACGUAAAGAGCUAAAAGAGCUGAUGGGUACAGAAUAAGAAAUGAGACUGAGGAGUGAGCAAAGCUAAAUAAUAACAGAACAAGAACAAUGACGAAUAGAAGAAACAGUAGCAAAGAGCCGUUUAGAUGAUUAGAAUGAAACUAAGCGACUGGAAAUAGUAGAUGGUAGACUAAAGAGAAAGUGAUUGAUUAUUUUAGGAGGCCAAUUAACGUAAUGACAGAUCCGGUUUCGAUGUUUGUAAUUUGAGUAUGAGGUAAAUCGAUUCUUUGUCGAGCCAGUCAAAUACAAAGGCAAAUUAGUAAAACACGAGCCAGCAACUUUUACUCACACAAAAGCCAAUAAUAUAUUGAGAUCACGCAACAUUGCAAUAAAGUUAUCAUCAAGUUGUAGCCUUCUUAUUCAAUCAAUUAUGGCAUUAUCUCUAGCUCUGUAUUUUUCAAAAAAAAAAUUAUUAUUCAAAAGAUGUCUGUCAUUAAUUUUUCAAUGAUUAAAAUUAUAAUUUUUGUUUAAUAUAUAUAACGUAAAAUUUUAAAAGAAUCAGACAUGCAUUAGGGUUAAAAUAAAAAAUAUGGAGGUAGCUUUUAACUAGGUAAUUGGCUCAACUAUGGAUCAGUGUGAGAUCACUAUUUUUCUUAUUAAAAAAAAUUCCAGCCAAACAAUUGUCGCAAAAUCUUAAUAUAAAUUACAAAAAAAGACAAUAUUUUCUAAAAUCAUAGCAAUAAUUUAUAUUUUGAAUACCUGUAAAUAAACCACUUAGAAAGCUUUCGAAACACGAAUAUUGUUGUCGUUUUUAAAGACUUGACAUUUUGGGUAAUCUGAAUUAACAAUGCACAUCACUUGUUUGUCACAAUGUCCAAAUAAAUAAUUUUAAAAAAAAGUUAUUUUCAUUCUUUCUUUUCAGGUAUCCUAAUUCCUUUUGCAGUUUGAUUCCUCUUUUCCUGAAUUUCACACAGCGCACCCACAUUUUUUGACCAUGUGCACCUCCCCCUAUUUCUAUUAAAAAAUCAACUAAUCUAACUGUUUAGGCUGUUAUAAAUUUAAAAGACUAUACUACCCUUAUUUUGAAUGAAUUGGGUAUAUAAGUACUAAAAUACCCUUACAACUAAUAAAAUUUAAAUCAAAAAGUAAAAAUUUAUUAUAAUAUUUUUAAAUUUAUAUGUAUACGAUUUUUUCCCGGAUUACAAACCCAAGAUUAUAAACCUAGUAAAUUACAAAAUCAGAGGCAAAGCAUGAUUCCAAUGUGAAAGAAAAAAAUCAAACACACAUUCAUCAGUACAUUACAAAAUAAAUCCGAUAAUCCCACCAAAACAAAUAAAACCCAAUAGAAAGAAACCCUAAACUAAUGAUACCAAAAUCCCUGAGAGCAAAUUUCAUUGUAAAAUUCUAUUACAAAAUAAAUUCAUACUAAGAAAAUUCAAUAAAAAGAAACCCAAUAAUCAAAAAUCUUAAAACUAAAGAUAUCAAACCCAAAAUUAAAUUAUAGAGGUGGCGAAAGAAAAAGGGUUUUUUUAAUUAUAUAUAUUAUUUUAAUCUUGUGUUAAUUACCAUUCUACCCUUCUUUCCGUUAACAUUAGAUUUGAAAGAAAUGAGGGUGGUGGACAUGGUCUGUAGAUUGGGGGCACAAUGCAAAAUGUCAAAACAAUUGGGGCUAAUGCUAAAUUACACAUUAUUUAAAUUAAAUUAUCCUAAUUGUAUUUUUAUUAAUUAAUUAACAAUUAGUUUCAUUACUAUGAUAGUUUUGUCACUAUGUUUGUUACCAUCUCUCAAAAAAAAAAAAAAUUACUUUUACAUGUCGAAUUGUGUAACAACGAUUUAAUGAAAAAUUAGAAAACAGCACGACAUCUCGUGGCUUAACAUGGUCAUCAUGAAUAUCCCUUAUUAUUAAAAAAUGAACAAACAAACUCUUUUUUAAUACAUGUAGUCCUUUUUUUUAUAUUUCAAAAUAGUUAAACAGAUCCUGAAUUUGUGUGUUCCUCAAUAAAUUUUCAUGAUCAUUUUUUAAAAUAAGGGAUUUUUGUGAUUAUUUUGCCACGUCCAAGGAUGCCGCUGUUCUUGUCACCAAAAAUUAUUCUCAUAAGAGUCAUGAUUAAUUGGACGUCAGCAAUGAGGGCAUGUAAUGAAAAAAAUUUGUUUUGCAUGGGAUCCAAUAAUUUUAAUUACAAUGGUGGUGACAGACCCAGCUGGAAAAUCAACUGAUUUUAGAAUUCUGUUGAAAAUUCUUUAAAUGAUCACUAUAUCUCUAGUUCGAUUAUAUCCUUAAGCUCAUUGAUUCUUUUGUAUUGAUUUUGUUACUUCUUUUCUAAGAAAUAUUAUAAGAACUGCUCAGGCUGUAAGAUUGAUAAGCUUAAAGAGUCGGAACGAGGCUUACCAGUUCGUAAGCUUUUAAUUAUUUGGAUUGCUGUGCUUGCAACUGGUAAAUUUUUCAACUUCAACUCGAUAUAAUGAUUUUGGAGAGAACCAUUUACAGUGAUUUUCAAUUCUUUUGUGAUUUUUUUUUUCAGUUCUGCCAGUCUCAUCUCUCUUUCCCUUCCUUUAUUUUAUGGUGAGUGGAUUAUUAUUGCCUUCAGCGCAGUGGUUAUUAGUGAGAAAAUUUAUAUUUUCCUAUCAAGCUUGGUGAUUUUCUGAGAAAUAUAAGAAAAGACAAGUUUUAUAUGUCAAAUAAUUCAUUGCUUUUUCACAGCAGUCAUUUAUGAUUUCUUUUCAGAUUAGGGAUUUUCACAUUGCAAAAAGGGAGGAAGAUAUUGGAUUCUAUGCUGGUUACGUGGGUGAGUUAUUCUAUGUUUUUUUUUAUCGUAUUUAAUAAAUGACACACAGUAUGGAGUCCGUCUUGGGUACGAAUGUCCACACCUUAUAAAGUGCUGACUCACGCCUUUACAACUCUGGGAAGACAUUCUACCGAGACUUUACAUCACUGUAAACGCACUGUACAAGAGCUUUACAAUACGGACCCGCGUCUUUACAACUUUAAAGGGCCAAGUCUAUGCUUUAAAAAGUACAUAUGUUCGCACCUGGAAACGAUUUACAUAUGUAUGUAUAUAUGUAUAUAUGUAUGUAUGUGUGUGUAUAUAUAUGUAUGUAUGUAUGUGUGUGUGUGUGUGUGUAUGUAUGUACGACCAAUAAAACAGUUCAAAUUCCUCGAGAAGUUAUCCUAACAAGCAUCUUAAUACCUUGAUGAAAUUGAAGGGUCUUAAUACAUGCUUGGCAGAGCUCUAACAUCUGUUUUGUGGGGAAUGGUGGCUGACCGCUGUGGUCGAAAGCCUGUAAUAAUAAUAGGAAGCAUCACAGUGUUAGUGACUUCUAUUUUCAUAUGAUCAAGCUUGAAAUUGAUGAUACUUCGGCAAUUUCUGGAUUUCUUGUCUGUCUUAAAAUGCUCACAGGGUUAUUUUUAACACUCUUUUUGGGCUUAGUGUGAAUUUCUGGAUGGCCAUAGCUACAAGGUUUCUCCUUGGGGCUUUGAAUGGUUUACUUGGACCAAUAAAGGUAUUGAUUGGGGGUAUUUGUUGAUAAUUCCAAUUUAAUUCCUGCAAAUAUUUGUGCUCAAACUUCUCUUACACCACGAGGCAUAUGCAUGUGAAAUAUUGCGCGAUCAGCACCAAACUUAUUACGAAACCAAAAAUGUUACUUGUUUUCUGUACUUGCUUUCGCAUGCAUCACCCCCACAAAACUGCUUGACGAUUGUCCUCAUUUUGAACUUACUAUAGGUUUCAUUCUCCUUGUUUUUCAACUUACUCUGUACCCUUACGUCGAGAGGAUUAUUGGGCCAAUAAUCAUAACACGAAUUGCAGGGGGUAAUAUUUUGAACACCUCAUGCGGCAUUUGGACCAUUUGAUAGUUUGUUUCAAACAUAUCUGUUUAUAAAAUACUUUUCUUCAUGGUUUUGGUCCCAUAACUUUCUAUGUAUGUACAGGUUUUAUCGAUACCGCUUUUGACAAGUUACACUUACAUAGCAAUGCUAUCUGGGUUCAGCCUUGCCUUUUUGAUAAACUGUGCUUCUGUGAUGAAGAAUGUUUUAUCUGUAAGUGGAUAUCCUAAUCAUUGAUCCAUAUACUAAGGUUAUAUUAUCCAUCAGCAAGUAUGUAUAAAAUUAUUUUGUCUUUUUUAUUAGAAUUUUUGUAAUUCUUUUUUACUUUUCCUGAAUUGUAGCAUCAGGUGUCUAUAAUAACUGGAUCGUUCCUUCUGCAAAUCAGAGCAGUGGUAAAUAUAUUUUCUUUUGUUUGUUUAGUACAUUUCCAUGCUUUCAGCUUUUUCAAAUUUUGUAUGUGCCAAAGUUUAAAUUAAUUGGUUGGUUUAUGGUAUAAUAACAGGUAUGAUAAUUUACUAAUGAAAUUUCUCACUAGUUUGUGAAUUACUUGGUGCUAAUUAGCUUAAUCAGCUGCUUAAACUAAAGUGCAGGUAACCAGAUGAUUUUUUUCAUUCUGAAUUCGGUGGAGGCACUUGGAGUAAUAUUGACAUUCAAACCGUUUCUAACUCAACGUGCCCCGUGAGUGGAGAAAAGAUGCAUCUGUUGAAAUAUUCAAAUAUAUAUCAAGCAAAUUAAAGCUUUCAAAAUCUUUCAACAAUUUGAUUGUUUGAUGUGGUUGCCACUUGCCAUAUUUUGUGUUACUUUUCUAAAGGCUUAAAUAUGAAAAUGGUUGUUGGUGCUCACGCCAAUUGAUUGCUGGUAACAUUAAUUGUGCAGUACUUGUCAGAACUACCACAAUUUAUCUUCACAAUGAUGCUAGCUAGAAAGAAAAUUUCAUGUUAAGUAAAAUAUUGAAGCCAUAAAGAGUCUUAUUCCAGAGCCUCAUUAAGUACUAAGUUUUCUGCCAUGCUUUCAAAGUUUACAAAUUCGAAGCUUGGGGAUUCUGUAACAAUGGAGGAUAAAAAUUAUAUAAGAAUAUUUUUUGUACAAUUUUCAUACGACCAGACAGAAGCGAGCAUAAUUUUUUGAUCAUAACUCAGAUCAAAAGACCUUCAAUGAUGUAUAAUAUGCACAUAAAGCUAGCUCAGAACCAGACAUUAAAACUUAUGAUGAAAGGGAAACAUAGAUGUUGAGAUUGAAAACAUAGAGAAAUUUUUUUAAAAAAUCUGAAAUUUUAUUAAUAGAAGUUUGAAUAACAAAAUUAGGGUAUUGGACCCUUUUUAUACAAAUUCUAAAUAUUAUGUAUUUAUCAAAAUAGGCAAACUUGAAAUAUUAUUACAUAAUAACGUUCUCCUAACUGAAAUAAAAAAAAUAAAACAAAUCAUACUUAAAAUCUUAUAUUUAGAGAAAAAAUAUAAAAAUAUUGAAAAUAAUAAGAAAAAUAAGAAAAUAACUUAAACUUUGUAAAAUAACUACGAAAUAAACAGAAUUUCUUGCCGAAUAGAUACCCGCUCAAGUUAUGAUCUAGGAGUGAUAUCCUACUCAUCCUAUGCAACCAUCAGCUGCAUCAACUUCAUUCCAAAAUUAACAAAUAAACCAACUGACGCAUUGCAAAUAAUAAGAUGAAACGAUAAAAUAAACCUAGAGAUCAAACAACACAAGGUAAUAUAUUAAAAAGCCUAUGGGAUCAAAACACAUCGUACUAUGUCGAGAGAGAUGACGACUCCUCCAACAGCAGAAAAUAAAUUCUUUCAUUCAUUAAUUUAAAGUAAAUUUGGUGCUCCAUCUUCUUCUCCGUCACCUAUUACCACCUCUGUCAUUGCCCUGCAUCCAGCUACCUUCAUUGAUACGAGCCGCACUAGACUUUCUGCUGUAGUGGACGGAUGUUACAAUUCCUUGCAAUGGAAAAUCAACAGUUCUGUUAGAUUCCCAAAAGAUAUAGAUGAUCAUGGGAAUAGACUUAAAUGCUUGUAAAAUAGUCGUAGAAUGUCAAGAUAUUUAAAAUGGAGUCCAGUUUGGAGUUGCUUCAAUGAUUAAGUCUGGACAGGAUUAACCAUUUUAUCAGUGCCUACUUCCCCACUUGUUUUUAGCAGUAUCCGGCUUGAUUUAAGAAUCUCUUUGUAUGAACUAUAUUACCCAAAAAAAAAAAAAAUCUUAUUUCAAAUGAUGCACAGGAGAAGAGUUACUUGAAUCUUCAUCAGUAUCCAGACAUUCUACAAUCACAGAGUAAAGAGUUCUAGCAGGAAAAACUGAGAAAACAACGUACUUCUAUAGUUUUUCACAAUAUUUCCAACGUUUUCAAACAAUAUUUCCACAAUAUAGUUUUUCAUAGCGAAGAGUUUUGCUUUGGUGGUCUAAGGAUUUGUUCUAGGCAUAAUGCUCUGAUUAGAUUUUGUUUAUUUUUAAUUUUUUAUCCGAUGAAUGAUUUUCAGCUGGUCUUAAUUAUGUGUUCAUAGGGAAGAGCAUUUGGAAAGAUCAUCAAAAAAAAAAAAAAAAAAAGUUUCCAAAGAAAGAUAGGUGUGAAGCAAACCAAACUAAAUGAACAAACUAAAAUAACAGAACAGCAAUGAUGUUUUCAAGGAAUUAUAAAAUAUGAAGGCUUUUAAUGAAAUUUUAUCAUACAAAGUAUGCAAGGAAUUAUAAAAUUUUAGAAAACAAGGGGAACUCUCAAAAAAAGAAAAAAAGAAAAAAAUACUCAAAUUAAACUAGACUAGAAGACAUUCAAUGAUGCAAAAUCUGUCCACAAAAGUCUGAACGAAUCAUUAAAAUUGCAUUCCAAAUUUAACAGUAAGCCGAUUGACCCAUUCUAAAUAAUUCAUAUGAAAUUGCGAAACAAGCCAUGAGAUCAAAUAAAUGAAAUAAAAAAUAAUUACCAGCUGAGGCUUUCUUCUAAAAUUCACAACUCCCAAGUCAUAAGAAGCCUAUGAAAUUAGUACUGGGUAGAGAUCGCCGACUGCACCGCCAACAGCUGAAAAUAAAAUUCUUAUUCAUCAAUUUAAACUUUUACUUUAUAACAAAUAUCUUAUCUAUAUUUUAUUAAAAAAAAAAAUUGUAAAAUGUUUCCAUGGGAGAUAGAGAGUACUAUGUAUAUCCGUACCUUUUCAGCAUGUAAUUGUUGUAUGGUUGUGUUUAGAUCAUUAUUGGUCCAAAGCAAUCGAUCCUCUGUCUCUCCAUAGCAGACGUUUACUCUUGGAGGCGUGAUUGAUUCUCCUGUAGUGAAAAUCUUCAUCUUGGGACAACCAAUCACCCACAAAUCUUGCAAAGAUGGGAAUUUGAAGGUGUAGUUGGCAGAGCUGAAACUUGUGAAGCUAUCUAAAUCAAACAGUUCCAACGUCUUCAAUUUGCUAAAAACAAUCUCUUCUUUUUCAACUCCAUCUUUGUCAUUUAUUACCACCUCUGUCAUUGCUCUGCAUCCACAUACUUGCACUUUGACGAGUUGCACUAGAGUUUUUGCUGUGGAGGAUGUUACCAAGUGUAUCAAUCCCUUGCAACCGAAAGCCACCAGAGCUGUUAGGUUCUGAAAAGAUACCGAUGAUGAUGGCAAUAGAAUUAACAGACUUUGACAAUGAUGUACUUUUAGAAUUUCAAGAUACUGAAAAAUGGGGCCAAGUUUGGAGUCUUGUUUGCACAGCUGCUUCAGAUGAUAGUGCCGGUUCAGCUGUAAUUUUUUUAUCAUUGCCAACUUCCCCACAUGUUUCUCUAAGCUUCCUUCCUCCGAAAAUACCUCUUCGUUGAAUGAAAAAAAACACAGUAUGAGCAUUUCCAGAUUGUGAAAUCUCUCCAGUACGUUCCAGACUGGAAAACAAGCUGAGUCAUCUCCAGCAAUCUCUAGUUGUUUAAGACUGCCAAAAAGGUGUUGUGGGAAAUCGGCCUGCAAAAUCAUCUUCACAUCUUUUCCACUUAGUGAUAGUUCCUUCAAGUUGGGUACGAUCUGAUCAUCAUCAAUCAUAAUAACUAAUGAGGUCAAUUGAUGAUCUACGGUCACACGCAGUGACUUUAUAGUAUUUGUUUUAUAUUAUAUUUUUUUAAAAAAAUUGAAUUAUUGAUAAAAUUUAUUUUAUAUGUUAAUUUUAGAGGUAAAAAAGAAAUUAGGGAAAAAAGGUUGAUUUAUACUGGCUCGAAAUUAUUUUAUUGCACAAUAAUAAAUUACUAAUUUAUUUUGUAAGUUCUUCUAUAUGGAAAGACUAAGGAUUCUUUUAUAAAUGCUAUACCUAAAACAGUUCAUAUAAUUAUUAAUCUACCACAUUGAUCUCUUAGGUAAUGUUUAUAUAAUUAUGGCAAGGCAUGAUUAAAUUGAUCAUUUGUUUGGUAACAACUUUAUUAAUCGGGUUCUGGCAGAUUUUCUUGGUCACAAAAGCGUCAAGAUGCUGGUUUCCUCCCAGGUAUGAUGAUAUACUAAUGAAAAUUCCCACUAGUUUGUGAGUUGCUUUGUGCUAAUUAGCUUAAUUAGCUGCUUAAAUUAAAGUGCAGAUAACCAGGUGAUUUUUUUCAUUCUGAAUUUGGUGGAGGCACUUGGAGUAAUAUUGACAUUCAAACCGUUUCUAACUCAACGUGCCCCGUGAGUAGAAAAGAUGCUCUGUUGAAAUAUUCAAAUAUCUAUCAAGCAAAUUAAAGCUUUCUAAAUCUAUCAACAAUUUGAUUAUUUGAUGUGGUUGCCACUUGCCAUAUUUUGUGCUACUGUUCUAAAGGCUUAAAUAUGAACAUGGUUUUUGGUGCCCACGCCAAUUGAUUGCUGGUAACAUUAAUUUAUCUUCACAAUGAUGCUAUCUACAAAGAAAUUUUCAUAUCAAGUAAAAUAUUGAAGCCACAAAGAGUCUUAUUCCGGAGCCUUAUUAAGUACUAUGUUUUCUGCCAUGCUUUCAAAGUUUACACAUUCGAAGCUUGGGGAUUCUGUAAUAAUAGAGGACAAAAAUUUUAUAAGAAUAUUAUUUUGUACAAUUUUCAUACAACUGACAAAAGCAAGCAUAAUUUUUUUAUCUUAACUCAGACCAAAAGACCUUCAAUGAUGUAAAAUAUGCACAUAAAGCUAGCUCAGAACCAGACAAUAGAACUUAUGAUGAAACGGAAACAUAAACGUUGAGAUUAAAAACAUCGAGAAACACCCUUUCAAAAAAAAAAAAAAAAAAUCGAGAAACACAGCUUUUGAAAAGUCUGAAAUUUUAUUAAUAGAAGUCUGAAUAACAAAAUUAAGGUUUUGAACCCUUUUUAUACUAAUCCUAAAUAUUACGAAUUUAUUAAAAUAAGCAAACCUGAAAUAUUAUUACAUAAUAAGGUUCUCCUAACUGGAAUAAGAAAAAUAAAAUAAAUCGUAUUUAAAAUCUUAUAUCUAAAAAUAAAAUAUAUAAAAAUCUUGAAAAUAAUAUGGAAAAAUAAGAAAAUAUCUUAAACUUGUAAAAUAACUAUGAAAUAAACAAAAUUUCUGGUUGGACCAUGAGGCCAAUAGGGUGUCAUAGUAUUAGAUUAAUGGUAUAUUAUACGCCCUAGAUAGAUACUAUAGCUCAAUUUAUGAUCUCGGAGUGAUAUCCUACUCAUCCUAUGCAACCAUCGUCUGCAUCAACUUCAUUCCAAAAUAAACAAUAAACGAAUUGACGCAUUGCAAAUAAUUUAGAUGAAACGAUAAAAUAAACCUAGAGAUCAAAUAAAAUGAAAUGAAAAUGAUAGUUACCUCGGACUUUCUUCUUCAAAUUUCGCAGCACUAUGUAAUAAAUUAAAAAGCCUAUGGCAUCAGAACAUAUCGUACUGCGUCAAGAGAGACGACGACUCCUCCAACAGCUGAAAAUAAAUUCUCUCAUUCGUUAAUUUAAAGUAAAAUUUGUAAAUUUAGGUACUUGCUGAAGAAACGUGUUUUCAUUUCUUAAAUAAAGCAUUAUACAUUGAGAGUUAUUUAUAGAUGCAGAGGCUACAUUUUUUCAAAGAUUACAUAUGUGAAUACGGAAGGAAAUGUGUCAAUCCGUUCGGCGCGAAUCAUCCGUUCGGCGCGAAUCUUGUCUUUGACAAGUGCAGAUUACCCCUUUGACAAGUGCAGAUUCUGUCUUUGAAAGCUUCAUUCAAUGUCGUUUUAUUUGAUUUUCAACACUCCCCCUCAAGCUGGUGCAUAGAUGUCUUUCAUACCCAACUUGUCUAGGAAUUUUGUAAAUGCCCUGCUUGAAAUGGCCUUCGUUAAAAUAUCUGCAAGUUGAUCUUCUGAUCGAAUUUUCGGCAGUUCUAAGAUUUUUUCAUCUAAUUUCUCCUUGAUGAAAAAUCUAUCUACCUCCACAUGUUUUGUUCGAUCGUGUUGAACUGGGUUAUGAGCAAUAUCUCGUGCAGCUUUGUUGUCACAGUAUAGUUGUAUUGGUUGUUGUGAUGGAUAGCCCAUAUCGUUUAAGAUAAAACUUAUCCAUAGCCCUUCACAUAUCCCAAGGGCCAUGCCUCGAUAUUCUGCUUCAGCGCUCGAACGGGCAACGACAUGUUGUUUCUUGCUUCUCCAUGUGAUAAGGUUUCCUCCCACAAAGGUAAAGUAUCCUGAAGUAGAGCGUCUAUCACUAACUGACACGGCCCAAUCUGCAUCAGUAUAAACUUCUAUGUUGCUGUAAUCUUCAUUUUUGGAAAGUAAGAUUCCUUUUCCUGGAUUUGUCUUCAGGUACCUCAGGAUCCGCAUUACUGCUUUCAUGUGUUGUUCUCCGGGAUUAUGCAUAAACUGGCUUACAACACUCAAUGCAUAAGCAAGAUCUGGCCUUGUGUGGGACAAGUACAUCAAUCUUCCAAUCAGCCUUUGAUAUCUUCCUUUGUCUACUGGAACUUGGUCUGAAGUAAUACAAAACUUCAGUCCUUCUUCUAUUGGGGUGUCAAUAGGCUGACAAGCUGUCAUUCCCGUUUCGUGCAAUAGAUCUAAGGCAUAUUUCCUUUGAGACAGAAAGAUUCCUCCCUUAGAUCGAGAAACCUCAAUUCCAAGAAAGUAUUUUAAGGCACCUAAAUCCUUCAUCUCAAACUCUCUUGACAAGUACUUAUGAAGAGCCUCUGUUUCUUCCUCGUCGUUGCCUGUAACUACCAUAUCAUCCACAUAGACAAUAAGGGCAGUGAUUUUACCUUGUCGUUUUUUAAUGAAUAAGGUAUGAUCUGAAUUGCUUUGGUUAUAUCCAAAACGAACCAUAGCCUUUGUGAAUUUCCCGAACCAUGCUCUUGGGGAUUGCUUCAACCCAUACAAUGAUUUCUUCAAUUUGCAUACUUUCUGAUUGAGUCGUUCUGGUCCACUGCAUCCUGGUGGCAGAUCCAUAUAAAUUUCUUCAGACAGGUCUCCAUGGAGGAAAGCAUUCUUUACAUCGAACUGUUGCACUGGCCAAUCCAAGUUGACUGCUAAUGAUAAUAAGAUACGAAUAGUAUUAAUUUUUGCUACCGGUGCAAACGUAUCAGUAUAAUCAAUCUCGUAGGUUUGGGUGUAACCCUUAGCUACGAGUCUUGCUUUGUAUCGUUCAAUAGAGCCAUCUGCUUUGUAUUUUAUAGUGUAGAUCCAUCGACAACCCACUAGUUUCUUUCCUGGUGGAAGAUCAACUAGUUCCCAUGUUUGAUUUUUCUGAAGAGAUCUCAUUUCAUCAUUCAUAGCCGCUUUCCACUUUGGAUCUUUUAAAGCUUCCUGCACACUGUUAGGAAUAGAUACAGCAGAUAAUUGAUUCACAAAUGACUGAUUUGAUUCUGACAAGCAAUGGUUAGACACAAAAUGACUUAUAGGGUAUUUGACUAUACUAGAGAAGUCAGGCUCAUAUGUGGGUUUAGGGAUACCUCUAUUUUGACGCUGGGGAAGAAUUCUUCUGAUUGGACUUGUGGUAGGAACAUCCUCUGCAGACGAUUGGUUAGGUAUUUCUUCAUGUGACUCAUUCUCGAUUGCAGUUGUGUCUGAGUUAUUGUGCUCCCCAAAUGUGUCUUCACAUAUCUUAGCCUGCGAAUUAUCACCAUUUGCUUUUCCAGUAUCUUGAAGGUUUACUAUCUCAAUGGAAGAUUGACUUUCUUCAGGUGGAAGAUAUGUAAGAGUAUGAAUUUCCUCUUCAUUAUACUCCCCCUGAAAUUCAGACUCUGACAAGUAGUACAUGAUAUCUUCAUGAAAAACGACAUCCAUGGUGAUGUAUAUUUUUCUUGAUGGUGGAUGAUAGCAUCGGUAUCCCUUUUGAUGUAAGGCAUACCCUACAAACACACAACGUAGUGCUCGAGGAGAUAAUUUUUCUUGUUGCGGCAAAUGAACGAAGGCAACACAGCCAAACACAUGUGGGGGCAGAUUCGGCACAUUUGGUGACAUAAUUGCAUCAUUCAGAACUUGGAAAGAAGUCUGGAAUCCAAGGGAGCUUGAAGGUGUUCGAUUGAUCAAGUAUGUUGCGGAUGCCAGUGCUUCUCCCCAAUAAGAUAAUGGCAUGUGGGCUUGGAUUAGUGAUGCUCGAACAACUUCUAGUAAAUGUCUGUUUUUUCGUUCAGCAACGCCAUUUUGUUGGGGUGUCCCCACACAAGUGGUUUGAUGGACAGAUCCUUGUGAUUUCAAAAACUGUUGAAUUGCUGUGCUCAUAUACUCGCCUCCAUUAUCAGUAUGUAGAACUCGAAUUUGUGUCUGAAAUUGAGUUGUCACCAUCUUAUGAAAUCUUUGAAAUAAAGAGUUUACUUCGUCUUUCGAUUUCAUCAGAAAAAUCCAUGUCAUUCUGCUACAAUCAUCAAUAAAUGUAACAAACCAACGAGCACCUCCAAUUGUAGAAACUUUAGAUGGCCCCCAUACAUCAGAAUGUACUACCAUAAAAGGAACUGGAUUUUUAUUUAAGGACAAUGGAAAAGUAGUUCGAUGGCUUUUUGAAAGUUCACAAACAUCACAUUUAAAGUUACAAACAUCAAAUUUCAGAAACAAACUAGGAAAUAAUUUUUUUAAGUAACCAAAUGACACAUGCCCUAAACGUCUAUGCCAUAACCAAAUUUCUGAUUUCCCUUUUUUUAUGGAACUAUCUGCGACUAGUGCAGGGCUUAGCUUUCCAGUGUUUGUUGAUGACAUCUCCAAGUAGUACAAGUUGCCUCGUCUAAUACCAUAACCAAUCGUUUGCUUCGUUUGGAUGUCCUUAAACACACAAUGAUCAGGCCAAAAAAUUACAACACAUGAUAAGUAAGUGGUUAAUUGAGACACAGAUAAAAGAUUAUAAUCUAAAGAUGGAACAAUUAACACAGCGUCUAAAUUUAAUUCAUUUGUGAGUCGUAAAGAUCCUUCCCCAAUAACUGAGGUUGUGGUUCCAUUUGCAGUGGAAAUAUGUUUUUGUGAAGAUGGUUUCAAUUGAGAAACUUGUCGAGAAUCAAAAGUCAUAUGAUCAGUUGCCCCAGAAUCAGUUAUCCAUGUACUAUUAAUAACAGGUGUAAGAGUUUUAAGGGCCUUACCUGGACUGACAGAGGUUGCGAUUUGCACUGAAGAUUCUUUUUUAAGAUCUGUAGUGGAUGUGGAUUCAGCUACUGCAGUUUUUGAUCCAUGCUUGGUGUUCUUCUUUCGAGUAUCCCACCAGUCAGGAUAUCCAAUGAUUUCAAAACAUUGUUCUUUCGUAUGACCCUUCUUUCUACAAUGAGUGCAAUGGAGUGAUGACUUGUCAACAAACUUCCUUUGAGGUUGCUGUCGUGCUAUCAUAGCAGACGUUUCUGAGUCGACCUUCUUGUUUAGUUUGCUUUGCCAUAUAUCUUCUCUUCGGAUCAGAGAAUAACAUUCUUCUAAGUCUGGAAUAAUGUCUUUUCGUAGAAUUUCUCCACGAACUUGGUCAAAUUCUUCAUCUAGCCCAGCAAGAAAAAUGUGCACUCUCAAUCUUUCAACAGACCUUCUGUAUAUUACAACAUCUUCUGGAUCCUUCAUGACCACUUUAUCUCGGUGAUCAAGUUCUCGAAAUAUUUCGACCAAUUCUCCAUAGAAUUUAGAGAGUGGUUGUCCAUUUUGCUUGGUAGAGAAUGCCUUUUGGUUUAGAGUGAAAACUUGUAAUUCAUCGCUUCCAUCAUAGAAGGCUUUUGAUAAUGCAUCACAGAUUUCGUAGGCUGUAGAAAUUCGUAAAUAUUGCUUCAUGAUCUCCGGAGACAUGGAUAUGAGUAACAAUCUUUUUACUUUUUGGUUCUCACUAUACCAUUUCUCAUAUUCCUUUUAAGAUUCCUCAAAUGGCUUUGUGCUGCUACGAAUAUAUGAGAGUUUUUCUCUUUCUGCAAGAUGCAUUUCCAUUAUUUGAGACCAAACAUCGUAGUUUGUCUCAGUGAGGAUAAUUCCAGCAUUAAAUACUCCAUCAGAUUGAACAGAUUGAAUGACAACAGGACUAGAUUCAGUUGGAGUUUUCUCCAUUUUUUUUGUUUUUGUUUUUUUUUUCUUUUUCUUUUUUCUCUUUUUUUUCUUUUUUUUUGUUUUCUUUUUUUUUUUGUUUUUUUUCCCGUCUAGAUUGAAAGAAGAAAAAAAAAAUAACCUUUUUAGGUAACAAAACGACAGGUCGUUUAGCCACUGCUUACCAAACCGACAUGUCGGUUAUGGUGGAAUAUAAACGACAUGUCGUUUUACUCCUGCUGCACUUCUGGAAACUAAGCGUCACGUCGUUUUAUCUCUAAUUUAGAAAAGACAUAUCGGUUUUAAUAUAACACAAAACGACACGUCGGUUUUUGACUGCUGCACUUCUGAGAUAAAAAUGACAUGUCGGCUGACGUCUUCUUCAACCUCUGGAGCGCGUGAGGGCGCGUGAAUGAUGACAGAGGUGCGUGGUUGACUGGCCGUGGCUUCGGUUGGCGCGUGGGAGCGCGUGGGAAUGUGUUUAAAUGCGAAAGUUUUACAGUUUCCUCACUAAAAACUGAGAAAUUUUAUGGUGUUCUUGGUUUUGGACGAACACACUCUCGGAAAAUUGAUGGGAUUGUUGAUAAAUUUGUAAACUCAAGUUUUUUACGUAUUGGUGGCUUGUUUCUUGAUCGGCAUGGAUAUCUGUAAUGGUAGGAAUGGGUUUAAGAAAGAAAAUGGUGGGAAAAAUGGUUGUGGGAGGAAUUUGGUUUCCUCUGUUUUUGUUACAAACAGAGCAACGGAACUUGAAGAAACUUGAGCGUAUUCAUGGCUCUGAUACCAUGAAGAAACGUGUUUUCAUUUCUUAAAUAAAGCAUUAUACAUUGAGAGUUAUUUAUAGAUGCAGAGGCUACAUUUUUUCAAAGAUUACAUAUGUGAAUACGGAAGGAAAUGUGUCAAUCCGUUCGGCGCGAAUCUUGUCUUUGACAAGUGCAGAUUAACCCUUUGACAAGUGCAGAUUCUGUCUUUAAAAGCUUCAUUCAAUGUUGUUUUAUUUGAUUCUCAACACUUGCACAUAGAGAUUUGCAAGGGGAGCGAGAGAUUCAAUAGCAGCAAUUUAAUUUGACGGGACUUUCAUUGAAUAAUGAAAUUAAAAACUAACGAUUAUUGAAUUUUUUAUAUUCUCUUAACUCUUGUGGAAAUGUCAGCUCUAAAUAGGACAGCUUCAAGAAUCUUUAUCUGAAAGUGUAAUUGGCAGAGCAGAAACUUGUGACACUAUCUAAAUCACAAAGACUCAACGUCUUCAAUUUGCUGAAAACAAUCUCUCGUUUUGAAUUUACAUUUGGAGCUCCAUCUUCUUCUUCGUCACCUAUUACCAUAUCUGUCAUUGCCCUGCAUCCAGCCACCUUCACUGAUACGAGCCGCACUAGACUUUUAGCUGCAGUGGAUUUUACAAUUCUUUGCAAUGGAAAACCACCAGUUCUGUUAGAUUCCCACAAGAUAUAGAUGAUCAUGGCAAUAGACUUAAAAGAUUUUUACAUGCAGUAAUAUACUCUUAAGUGGUGUUUGGUUGGGAGGAGAGAAUAGAAGAAAGGAAAGUAAUUUAAAUGCUCUUUUUAUUUCCAUUAUUUGGUUUGACAAAAUAGAUAAGAAUUUAAUUUCCAUUAGAAUUUGAAUUCCACACCAAGUAGUGAAAAAUUUAAAUUCCUCUUAUGUUAAAAACUAAAGUUUCCAAAAUUAUCCUUCAAAUUUUUAACUUGUUUAAUGUCAUUAAUAAUUAUUAUUUAUAAUUUUAUUUUAUUGAUUUAAUAUUAUAAAUAGACCUCCACCGGUAAGUCGCCGGACCACUGUCGGACUUCACCGGACCACCGCUGAACUUUCGCCAGACCAUUGCCGAACUUCCACCGGAAAGUCGCCGGACUUCCACCGGAAUAUAGUUUUUCAUAGCGAAGAGCUUUACUUUGAUGGCUUAAGGAUUUGUUCUAGGCAUACUGCUGUGAUUAGAUUUCGUUUAUUUUUAACUUUUUUUAAUCUUUUAUCCGAUGAAUGAUUUUCAGCUGUUCUUAAUUAUUUGUUCAUAGGGAAGAGCAUUUUCUAAGUACUUCCUUGCCUUCUAAGUUUCCGAAGAAAGAUAGGUGUGAAGCAAAGCAAACCAAACCAAAUGAACAAACAGAGCACAAACUAAAAUAACAGAACAGCAAUGAUGACAAUAAAUAAUUGGCAAAAAAAGAAAAGAAAAAAGCAUGCACAUUUUCAAGGAAAUAUAAAAUAUAAAGCUUUUAAUGAAAUUUUAUCAUAAAAAGUAUGCAAGUAUUUAACAAGAUGUUUGGAACGAUAGAAAAUGAAAGAAAAUUGAUUAAGAAGAUUCUGGAACAAUCAUAAUUCUUAUUGAUGAAACUGAUCAAAAUCGUACAUUGUGAACGAGCUCAGCACUAUUUAUAGUUACACACAUGCUGAUUAGAAAGUGUAGAGCUCAAAACUGCAAUAUUAACAAACUAAUUAACCUUCCAAUCAUAUUAAGCCAGCUGGACAGUUAGUUACAACCAAUCAGUACAAAUAACAACCUAAUCCAGCUUGGCAACUUUGUUACACAUCAUCAGCCAGCUCAGCUUAGCAAACUUACACUCUUAACAGCAAGGAAUUAUAAAAUUUUAGAAAACAAGGGGAACCCUAAAAAAAAAACUCAAAUUAAACUAGGCUAAAAGACAUUCAAUGAUGCAAAAUCUGUCCAUAAAAUUCUGAACGAAUCAUUAAAAUAGCAUUCCAAAUUUAACAGUAAACCGAGUGACCCAUUCUAAAUAAUUCAGAUGAAAUUGUGAAACAAGCCAUGAGAUCAAAUAAAUGAAAUAAAAAUUCGCAACUCCAAGUCAUAAGAAGCCUAUGAAAUUAGUCGUAAUGCGUAGACAACGACGACGGCACCGCCAACAGCUGAAAAUAAGAUUCUUAUUCAUCAAUUUAAACUUUUACUUUAUAACAAACAUCUUAUCUAUAUUUUAUUUAAAAAAAGCAAAUUUUGUAAAAUUUUUCCAUGGGAGAUAGAGAGUAAUAUGUAUAUACGUACCUUCUCAGCAUGUAAUUGUUGUAUGGUUGUGUUCAGAUCAUUAUUAGCCCAGCGCCGUUGAUCCGCUGUCUCUCCAUAGCAGACGUUUACUCUUGGAGGCGUGAUUGAUUCUCCUGUAGUGAAAAUCUUCAUCUUGGGACAACCAAUCACCCACAAAUCUUGCAAAGAUGGGAAUUUGAAGGUGUAGUUGGCAGAGCUGAAACUUGUGAAGCUAUCUAAAUCAAACAGUUCCAACGUCUUCAAUUUGCUAAAAACAAUCUCUUCUUUUUCAACUCCAUCUUUGUCAUUUAUUACCACCUCUGUCAUUGCUCUGCAUCCACAUACUUGCACUUUGACGAGUUGCACUAGAGUUUUUGCUGUGGAGGAUGUUACCAAGUGUAUCAAUCCCUUGCAACCGAAAGCCACCAGAGCUGUUAGGUUCUGAAAAGAUACCGAUGAUGAUGGCAAUAGAAUUAACAGACUUUGACAAUGAUGUACUUUUAGAAUUUCAAGAUACUGAAAAAUGGGGCCAAGUUUGGAGUCUUGUUUGCACAGGUGCUUCAGAUGAUAGUGCCGUUUUAGCUCUAAUGUUUUUAUCAUUGCCAACUUCCCCACAUGUUUCUCUAAGCUUCCUUCCUCCGAAAAUACCUCUUCGUUGAAUGAAAAAAAACACAGUAUGAGCAUUUCCAGAUUGUGAAAUCUCUCCAGUACGUUCCAGACUGGAAAACAAGCUGAGUCAUCUCCAGCAAUCUCUAGUUGUUUAAGACUGCCAAAAAGGUGUUGUGGGAAAUCGGCCUGCAAAAUCAUCUUCACAUCUUUUCCACUUAGUGAUAGUUCCUUCAAGUUGGGUACGAUCUGAUCAUCAUCAAUCAUAAUAACUAAUGAGGUCAAUUGAUGAUCUACGGUCACAUGCAGUGACUUUAUAGUAUUUGUUUUAUAUUAUAUUUUAAAAAAAAUUGAAUUAUUGAUAAAAUUUAUUUUAUAUGUUAAUUUUAGAGGUAAAAAAGAAAUUAGGGAAAAAAGGUUGAUUUAUACUGACUCGAAAUUAUUUUAUUGCACAAUAAUAAAUUACUAAUUUAUUUAGUAAGUUCUUCUAUAUGGAAAGAUUAAGGAUUCUUUUAUAAAUGCUAUACCUAAAACAGUUCAUAUAAUUAUUAAUCUACCACAUUGAUCCCUUAGUCUAGACUAGCAAAGAUUAUUGUAUAAUAAAAAUUUUUAAUUUAUUGAGUAUUAAUUUAUCGAUGCUUUGUCAUAUUUUUCAAAGUUAAAAAUAAGCUAUUGAUAAAAAAUCUAGAAAAUGACUUCAUACCUUUUCCAACGGCAAUAGGAGCUGUUGUGCAGGAAUACCAAGUUGAUCAUUCUCAUUAUUCUGCGAUAAAUCAGCGAAUAUCUUUAAUUUGUCACAACGAUACACUAAAAGACUUUCUAGCGCGGGCCAUUCCAAAGUAUGCAUUCCAGGGUACAAACAUCUAAGUUUUGGUAGAUGUUGGAGUCUCAGAGUGGUGAGCUGUGGAAAGACAAAAUAAGGGAUCACUUGAUCUGCUCUGUUUUCAGAAAUGAUCUCCUGUAAAUCCUCACAGAAGCGUAUAUCUAGGUGUUGGAGCUGCUUAAGGCUUCCGAUCAUAGACGCUGAAAAUAGGUAUUUUAAUUUGUGACAAUGCCGCACAGUCAAUCGUGUUAAAUUUUGAAAGCGAGGAAACAUGACCGGAAGAUGAUUGUAGUGCCAAAUCUUGUCGACAUUAAUUUCAGAUAUCUCCAAAGCCUCCAAGUUAGGCAACGCAACCUAAAAAAAAGAAGAAUUUCUCGUUACAUCCAAUAUGCAUAUGAGAAGCACUUGUUGAAAUUUUCGUCUUCGAUUACAAAUUAAUGCAAGUCAAAACCAAUUUCUAACUGACAGAUAAGUAUGCAUUCUAAUUCAUACUACUUGUUAAGAGCUCAAUUAGUGAGCGCGUGAGAUUCUUUUUAUCCUUUUUUUUCCAUUUUCUUUCAAUUCUUUAAAUGAUUUAAUUAUUUUCCACGUAUGACAACAAAACAGAACGCAUGAUAGAAUAAAGUCUGUUAUAUAUAUAUAUAUAUAUAAAGAAAAUGUUAGCCUACGCACCUUCUCGUUGAAAAGCAGAGUUGAAGUAUCCAAAGUGAUUUCGCUGGAGCUAUACGUAGUCGUCGAUUCCUCUUGCGACGCUGGUCUGUUUGGUGAUGCUGAAGGAGUCUUUACUUCACGGCAAAAACUUGUAACCUCUGGAAGAUUCCCCAGACUCAAAGAUCUUAAUUGAGCAAACUCUAUCUUCUCAAUUGCAUUAUCAACUUCUUCCCCAAUUGCAAAAAUCUCUUUCAUCUUGCUGCAAUUAAUAACUGCAAUUCUCUCAAGUCUUGGAAGGCAUUUUGUUGUAGAGAGCCAAAAGAUAUUACUCAAUUUUUCACAAUUAUAUGUUUGUAUGAUUUUGAGUUCGUUGAAGGACUCUACUUUGAGCCGAUCAAUACAUAUCCUCUCCAUGUUGAUCAAAUUGUGAAGGCCAAGUGACUCCAAAAGAGGAAAGGCAUCACAAGCGACCAUCGCCCUUGAAUCGACGAUGCAAAAGAAGUCAGGAUUAUUUUGAACCCAGACAAGCUUCAAUUGUGAAAAGCCCUCCGUGUCCAAAUUGAAAAGAACGUUCUUGAUCCCUCGCAGCUUGUCCAACAAUAAGUAUUCAACGUUAUUGACGCCCUGCAAUUUCAUGGAGCAAAUGUCCGUAAAAGCAAGCUUGAGCUUCAAUGCUCUUAAACUCUUGCGAUCACUGUCGAUCAAAAAGUGCUGCCAACUUUCAAACCAAUUUUGUCCAGCAAUCAUGGGAUGUGUGAAUAACACAUUUCCAAUAUUUAUUUUGAACCUUUCGAGCUUUCUGGCCAAAAAGCCUUCUGGUAACAUACUCUCAUUUUUAACAUCAAUUUCUAGAGUGGUUAGCCGAGGUAAAUGCAUCAAUUCAUCAAGGCUAGCAUUACUUCUUUUGCUGUUGGCUCUUUCAACCUCCCAUUCAAUGGAGCAAUUACCCAUAUACAAUUCUUCUAAUCGGAUUAAGCUUGAUAUGACAUUUGGGGCAAUAACUUUCAGACGGAAACAGUCUGUUAAAUCUAACAGCCUUAGCUUAGUCAGUUGACCCAGUGCUUUAGGCAACUCUACAAUAUCAGACCGCACGAAGCUGAGGAUUUCUAGGUUUUCCAACUUUCCAAUAAUGGCUACGUCUAUGCCUCUGAAAAUGCUUUGAUCAAGACAAAGUGUCUGAAGAUUUACUAGAAGACCAAUUGAAGAUGGCAAUGACAAUAACCGCAUUCUAGUCAAAUCCAAAACCCGAAGCUUUUUCGUCCUUUUGAAGAAGUUCUCAGGAAUAUUAGGCACAGCAAAAGAGUUCUUGGGAGACAUGAGUAGAAGUUCAAGUUGUAGAGAUUCGGACCCUUCAGGAAUGUCAUUAAUAACACUAUCUUUUAAAGAAAUUGCAAGAUAUUUUUUUAAUUCAUCUGCAUUUGGCCAUUUCCAAUCAUCCUCAUUUCUCACCACAAAUCCAAUUUUGUCACGACAUGCAAUUGAAAUGGCAACAUCGCGAACAACGUCGUGCAUAGAAAAGUAUUUACUGCCACCAUCCUCAAGCAACAAACAAGAGUCUCUUAGUUGAUGGACCCAUGCAUCUAAUUUGUUAUGUGCAUCUUCUAGCUUGUGGACACUUUUAAAUACACCCCAGAGCAUGCUAUAUUUGAACAAGUCCAUAAUUGGUGCUGGCGUAAUAAGACUACACAGUAAAAAAGUUUUCUUGAGUUGCUCACCUCUUAAGUACUUGUAACUCAGCUCAAUUGUUGAGUAUGCCUCUGCUGGUACUCCUUCGUCGAAGCUUGCCUCUGAAGGCGUUUGGAGUUCUUGCAAGACAUUCUUCCACACAGGCAGCUCUUUUUUUCUCAGUGCCUUUGCUACUGUGGUUAGGGCAAUAGGCAAACCUCCGCAUGCCUUGGCUACACUUGUUGCUGUAGAUUUUAACUCACGAUUUUCCACAUAAUCACCUGCCAUUAUCUUGAACAAUUUCCAGGCUUCUUGUUCAUUUAAAAUGCCAAUCGAGAAGUUUUUUUCAGAUUCCAUCCUUAACAGCACAUCAAGAUCUCUUGUUGUGAAUAAUAAUUUGCAUCCUCUGUGCUCAACUCCAAAAGGAAUUCCAAUAGUCCCCAAAUCAAGAGGUUUCCAGAUGUUAUCCAGAAUCACAAGGAUCUUCUUCUCAUUCUUCAAUCUUUCAUAUAGUCUACUAGCUCUUCUAGACUCAGCUUCCUCGGACAACUGUAGGCCUAACGUUACCGCAAUUUCCUCUUGGAUCUUUUUUAUGUCUGGACUUUGGGUAACCUCCGAAAAAGCCACCAUAUCGUAAAGCUUGUCUUCAAUUGCUCGCCUUGCAAACUCCCGCACCAGUGUCGUCUUUCCAAUGCCGCCCAUGCCGUAGACGCCAAUGAUGCUGACAUCAACAUCGAUCAAUGCAUUUUGUAUGGCCUUCAAAGUAGAAAGUCUUGAUUCGAAGGCCUCGUAGCCUUUGUGAGACUUGAGCCAAAUCUCCUCCGGAAUGGUACGGUAGGAAAUUCUAUCAUCAAAUCUCCCAGCUUCUUCUCGGAGUUUAAAAAGGGCCUCCUUCUCUGUUUCUGCUUUCUUUCCAUGCUGAUAGCGAGUAAUCCAAUUAGGAAACAGCCCCAUGAGACAUCGUUCAUUUGCUUUCUCUUCGUCUUGAAUGAAUUUGGCUGCCUCCUCAAUGCUCUUGUUCGCAUUAACCAGCCAUUUCUCAACCUUCUCUUCAAUCUUUUCACUUUUUCUUUCAGCCUCAGAAACUCUGCGCUGAAUGCUUUCUCUUUCAUCCUUGAGCCCAUCGAGUUCUUCCUUGAGAUUCUCAAAGUUGGCAGCGGAGUUAUACCAAUAACUAAAUUCGCGUUGUGCGUGAGGAGACAAGCAGUUUACAAUGCUUUUCAAAAUGUCCAUUUUUUUUUUUUGGUUGGGGGGGGGGGGGGGGACGAAAUAGAAAUAGAACAGGGUCAACGACCGCGCAAUUGAUAAUCAAGUAGAAGCAAAACUAGGCAAAAUUGGAAAAAUAAAUUAUAUUUGUACAAAACAAGGGGAAAAUCAGUGUAACAGAAGAGAAUCAAAGUGUUUUUGAGAUCAGAAAAUUGAACCAAGAAAAGGGUUGCUUGAUCCAAUGAAAAAGCAAAGAGCUGAUGGCAAAAGGGAACAAAGAUAAAUAAGAAAACGGCUAGUACGAGCAGCGACCACGAUGAACAGAAGCAAAGUGUUUAUGAGAUCAAAAGACGAAAAUCAGGAGAGGUUUUCUUGACUGAGAAUUGAAGGCAAAGAGUAGGAGCUGACGAAUACGGGGAUCAAGAGGGAAAAACUGCUUGCUCGUAAAACUACUUUCAAGCGAAUCUGAUAAAAUUAUUUCAAUACUCAUGGGCGACUCCUUUUUAAACUGCAGAAGGAAAAAAAAAAAAAAAAGAGUUCUGAAUUUCAAUAUAUUAAUUUUUAUCCUAAUUUAUGUUGAGAUUCGUAAUCUCGUCUCAAUGAUUAAUUAGUAGAUAAUCUUUCUAACAAAUAUGUGUUGAAUAGAUAUAUUUCUUGACUAUUAGUAAGUUAGAUAUAUUUUAGCAUAGGAAUGAAAGUACCAAGUUGUGUCAUAUUAGAAUAAAAAUGUGAGCUAAAAAUAAUUUUCUAUGACCUUUUAAUUAUUUGUCAGCAAAUAAUUAAGUCAUAUAAAAAAAUUAAUAAUCUGAAUUAGUCUUUAAGUAUUAUAAAUAUUUUUUUUUAUUUUUAAUUAUAAUAUCAUUAUUUAAAAAUAAUUGCUUGACUUAUAUUAGUAACAUUACGAUUGUCAUAAAACAUGUGAUCCUCAUCCAAUAUCCAUUAUUUGUGAUCCUUAAUCAAUAAAAUAUCUAACAAUAUCUUCACCUAAAGUUUGAGACAUGUGAUCCUUAUUCCACUGCGUCAAAACAAGGAGAAAAUCAGUGUAACUGAAGAGAAUCAAAGUGCUUUUGAGAUCAGAAAUUGAAGCAAGAAAAGGGUCGCUUGAUCCAAUGAAAAUGCUAAGAGCUGAUGGUAAAAGGGAACAAAGUUAAAUAAGAAAACAGCUAGUGCUAGCAUCGACCACAAUAAACAGAAAAUUUGAGAUGGAUUUACAAUAUUUCUGCCUUUCUUUAUGCUUUAACAAAUAUUGCUCUAUCAAAAAAAAUAUUUAGCAUUUUAUUAUUGGAGUCACAAAAGACCUACACAAUAUAGCAAGUGCUAGGAAUAAAUAAGAAUAUAUAACUCUCUCUCUAAUUCUCACUCUAGCUUUUAAUUGUCACUCAAAACCCAGAAUUCAUCCUUAAAGUGUAAGCAAAUCAGAGAUGACAGCGUCUGGUUGUCAUACGUGCCUUUUAGUUUUCGGAUGACAUGGCGUACACUUCUUCUGUAAAUCGAACAUGACAUGUCGUACUCUUUGUUUUGAGAUCAUAUUUCAAACUCUUCAUGCUAUGAAUGAAAGAUAAACUACAAUCAUCAAAAUAUUUAGUGUUUAUUUGGUAAUGUAACAUCAUAGUUGUUGUGAAUUGAAAUUAUUUAUGUAAGAUAAAAGGAUUUGGGUCAUCGUUUGUUAUUCUCUAGCAAUAUUGUUUGGCCGUGACUAUUUGUUAAAUAUUAAAAAAAUAAAUUUAUAUUUAUUAAGUACAAAAAAUAAAUAAACAAACAAAAAUAAAAGGAAAAGUUUAUGCAUUACAUAAAAUAAUAAGAACAAUAUCAAUAUUUCACACUCUAUAAUUGACUGAUGAGUUGUCCAACUACCAUACAUUGGUCCCAGAGACUUAAAUAUUAAAGUCCAAAGUUAUUGUGAUGAUGACUUAUAAUUGCCAAACUUGACAUACGGGUAAUCAUGCAUUAUAUAAGGUGCUGAUUUCUUCCGAUCGGAACUUUAUUUUUCAUUUACAAAUAAAUAAAUGAUGUGACUUAACGGGUGGCGGGGUCCUUUGUGCCAUUUGUGUAUUUCACUGAAUAGUUGAUUCAACUUGAUUGCAGCAGAAAGAUUCCUGGAAGUUGCCAUUUGCCAAUGCUACUAACAUUUUCAAACUUGGAAAACCCUUCAAUCAAUCUUUUAGUGGUAGGCUCUGGUAGCUUGCUUUGAUUAUGACAUAUGAUUAUUUGAUAAUAAAGCUAGAGGAUGUAUUAAUAUAAAAUUUGUUUAUUGGUGUUGAAGUUAAUUAUCUCAUUAAUAAUAAUAUAAAAAGUUAAUUACUAAGAAACACAUAGCAGUAUUCUAGGAUAUAAUUUUAUAUCAUAACUUUGUAAGUGUAUAAUUCCUCAUUAAAUUAACAAAAUUAUUUUAAAAUAUUUAGUUAGAAAAAAUAAAAUAUUUUACAAUACCUCCCUUCAGAUUGCACAAAUUACAUAAAAAAAAAAAAUUGCUUUAUGUAUAAAACUUUCAAACAAAUUGGGCCAAAAUCUAACUUUACCAAGUUUAGAGUAAUUUUGGGCUCUACAUUCCAUUUCCGACAAACGAAUUUUCUUUAUCACCAAGGUAUGAUACUUUUCAUAUUUAUCCAACGGCUCGUCAAUGACAAUACCUUUGUAAAAAGUACUUAUUUUCAAUAGUAUAUUGUGGAAAUGUCUGGUCGGUAAUACAACUAUUUCUUAUAGUGUAAAAAUGAUACACUAAGCGUUCACAUUUUGAUGAGUAAAUUAAGGAUUUCAAGAUGAAGUACAUAAUUAGAUUAAUGCUAAGAAACUGAAGUUUGAUCGAUUGAAAACGAAAAUAAUAAUAAAGGUAAUUAAGAAAAUGAACAAUAUAUGCAGAAGCGGCUCCUUAUUAGGACUUCUAGAUUUUCUCUUGGGCUUUCCUUAUUAUUGUUAAAAAAUGACACGAAGAACUUUGAGUUUAAAAAUCUGGCCCUGAUGCCUGGUAGCCCUCCAACAUAUGAAGCACCAGAUGUUUUGAUGAGAAUAUGACAAGACCAUUUAUCAAAUUUCUUGUGGAUAUAAAUACGUACACAUGGACGAGACCAACCUCCUCAAAUGAGAAUCAGAGUGAUUACAAGACCUUGCAAUGAGACAAUGAUACACCUUCAAAUGUCAAAAUACAAUAGAAAUUCACGACAUAUAUAUAAUAAAAGACCUCUCAUUGAGUCAUAUAUAUUGAGAAUAAAAAUGUUAUAAUACAUACACAAAGCUUAGCUAGAAUAAAAUGUCUUUGAACUUGCGAUGAUCAAAUAAAGAAAACAGACAGGUUGUAACUCACACUAUCACAAGAAGAUCACGAAGAUGGAAAUAGGAACCCGACAGAAUGGAAAUUUUGAAUAGAGGAAAAAAGAAAAACGACCUUAUUCACAUAAGAAGAGUGACUCAAAUCUUCUUCAGUAUCCAGACAUUCUGCAAUCAUAGAGUAGAGAAAUUUUAACAGGAACAGCAGAGAAAAUAUUAUGAAUAUGCUAUAGACCAAUAUACUUGUUCAUAGCUAACGUUUGAUGGUUUAAAGAUUUGUUCUAGGAAUAAUGGGCUGAUUACUUUUUUUUUAUUUUAAUUUUUUUUUAAUCCAAUGAAUGAUAUUCAGCUGUUAAUUAUGUGUUCAUAGGGAAGAACAUUUUCUAAGUACUUUCCUUGCCUUCUAACUUUCCGAAAAGCAAACCCAAUGAACAAACAGAGCACAAACUAAAAUAAAAGAACAGCAAUGAUGACAAUAAAUAAUUGGCAAAGAAAAAAGGAAAAAGUAUGCACGUUUUCAAGGAAUUAUAAAAUAUGAAGGCUUUUAAUGAAAUUUUAUCAUAAAAAGUAUGCAAGGAAUUAUAAAAAUUUAGAAUUUUUGGAAUUUUUAAUGCACCAAAGUUCAUUUUUAGCUUUUAAGGUUUUUAUGUGUGAGCCUCUCAGCAUGUUCCCCAACCUCCUCACGUGAAAAUAUUUCUAUGCACGGUUACAAGCUUUUCCAGAUUGUGAGUAUUCCGAAGCAAUCCAACUUGAAAAACAGCUGGUUCGUAGAAAAUGACAGUUUACGAAGCUGGCCCUGCUGCCAUACAUAUGAUGAUGAAGACCAUUUUGCUUUAUGUCAAUUCCUCCAAGUUGAAAUCUUUCUCGGUCUGGGACACUUCCAACACAUAAUGUACUACUAGGCCAGAUGAUUUUAAAAAAUGUCAAGGUCCUUUAUCAAAUUUCAUUUGCAUUCAAGACCAAUCCCCUUUGAUGAAAAUCAAUAAUUAAAGGCUUUCCAAUGAGAAAUUAUUACGUCUUCAAAUCUCAAAAAACGCCAGAAUAUUAAUUCGCUACAUAUAAUCAAGAUAUCUCAUUGAGACGCAUUAAUAAAAAAUGUCAAAAUGCAUAGAAAGAGCAGACACACGGAUGAUGAAUUUACUCAUCUUUAUUAGUAUUUGAACUUGAGAGACAGAAUGAAGUACAUGUCAAGAAUAUCAUAAAGAUGGAAACCGGAAGUCCUCCGCACAUAAACUUUGAAGAAACUGGAAAACGACUUUAUUCCAGAUAAUGCACACCAGAGUGACCAAAAUUCUCUUCAGUAACUAUAGAGAAAAUAUUAUUUUGCAUGCAUUUCACGUAACUGGAUCAAACUACUCUCCUGUUGGUUUAUCAGACCACAUUUUUAUGGUGCAAUAUAAACCAUCUUUUCAAAACGCUUUUACCAUGUGAGAAAUAUACGCAUUAAAUUUCAUAAACUAAAAACUCCAAUUGUCAAAAAAAAAAAAAAGGGUGAGAAACUCAGUAGAAUUUACAACUUCUCAGACUCACGAAAAGGUGAGAAACAAAUGAUUUUUAUAUAGUUGUUCAUAGCUAACUUUUGAUGGUUUAAUGAUCUGUAGAUUUUGUUUUAUGCUAUUCAAGGAAUGAUAUCCAAUUGUUCCUAAGAGUUCAUAGGCAGGGGCAUAUAUGCAUGAUUUGAUAUAAUUCUUGCAAUUUCUAAGUACUUGCUCUUUCCAUCCCUUCUAAGUUUUGAAAGAAAGGUCGAAAUAAACAGAGAAACAGGACAAACAGAAGAAGACUGAAUUAACAGAUCAACAAAGAUGGCAACUAACAAAUGGAAAGUUCUCUUGUAAUCAAACUAUAGCAAACAGAUGACACCAUUACAAUAUAUCUUAAUGAGUAGAUUGAUUCUAAACAUAUAUGUUAGGAUACAUUUGGUUGUUUAAUAGUUUGAAAUAAGGAGGAUGGGAUGGUUUCCACAUAAAAGUGCUGUCCCUUUCAAUGACAUUUUCAAAGAAUUAUAAAAUUCAAAAUAAAAAAAAAAUUAGCAAAUUAUAAAGCCACACCGUCAAAAAAAUAAAUAAAUAGAUAAGUUAAGACCUUUAAUGAUAUAAAAAUAAAUAAAUAGAGAAGUCACUAGGACCUUUAAUGAUAUAAAAUAAGCAUAUAAAUCUCAGAACAAAACAUUAAAAUUCAUUCUAAAAAUAAACUAGUGGUGUAUUCCAAACAAUUUAGAUGAAGCGAUAAAACAAGCCAAGAGAUCGAAUAAAAUGAAAUGAAAUUGAAUUAACUGGGACUUUGUUUUCCAAAUUCACAACUCGCUUGUAAUUAAAGUAAAAUGCCAAUGCCAUUAGGACAUAUACAUCAUUGAAUAAGAUGAGGACCCCUCCAACAGCUGAAAGUAAAAUUUUCAUUCAUUAGUUUCAAUUAAAAGUAAAGCACACAGAGAUUUGCAGGGAAGCAAGAGAUUUAAUAAAUUUAACAGCAGCAAUUUAAUUUGACAGGACUUCCAUACAGUAAUGAAGUUAAAAACUAAUGAUUAACGAAUUUAGUUUGGUCCCAAAGCUGUUGAUCAUCUCUCUCUCCAUAGUAGAAGUUUACUCUCAGAGGCGCGUUUAAUUCUCCUUUAGUGAAAAUCUUCAUCUUGGGACAACCAAUUAUAGAUAAAUCUUCCAAAGAUGGGAAUUUGAAGGUGUAAUUGGCAGAGCAUACAAAAUCUUCAAUUUGGCGAAAACAACUCUUCUUUUAAAUUUGCUGCUCCAUCUUCGUCAUUUAUCACCACCUCUCUCAUUUCUCUGCAUCCACAUACCACCAUUGAUAAUAGUCGCUCUAGACUUUUUGCUGUGGAGGAGGUUGCUAAGCUCAUCAAAUUCCUUGCAACGAAGAACUAGAAGUUCUUUUAGGUUCCCAAAAGAUACCGAUGAUGAUGGCCAUAGAUAUAACAGAUUUUGACAAUAAUGUACAUUUAGAAUUUCAAGGCAUUGAACAAAGGAGUCCAAUUUGGAGUCUUGUUUCCACAAUUGCUUCAGAUGAUUAAAUUUGUGCAGAUCUAAAUGUUUUAUCAUUGUAAACUUCCUCACAUGUUUCUUCAAGUAUCCUCCAUUCGAAAAUACAUCUUCGCAUGAACAACGACGCCGUAUGAGAGUUUCCAGAUUAUGAAAUCUCUCAAGUAAAUCAAGUGGAAAACAAGUUGAGUCAUCAUCCACUGUUUGUAGUAGUUUAAGACUCCCAAAAAGGUGUUGUGGGAAAUCGCUCUGCAAAGUCAUCCUCGAGUCUUUUCCACUUAAUGCCCGUUCCUCCUAAGUUGGGUAAGCUCUGAUCAUCAUCAAUCACGUAAUAACUUAUUAAGUCAAUUCAUAUUCUCUCAAAUGACUUUUAAUAAUCCAAUCAUACACAGUGACUUUAAUAUAAAUGCAUAAUAUUUUACAAAAAAGAAGAAAAAAUCGAAUUAGAGGUAAAAGUUAUUCUACGAUUUUAUUUUUUAUAUAUAUCUUGCAUGCUAUUCCCAAAAGCAAUCCCAAACGGCCCUUAAAGCAAUUUUACAAAAGUGGCCGGUACAUAUAUUGCCAACUUUGUUAGGAAUGGCAAUGGGAAGGGGAGGGGAAGAGACCGACCUCCCCGUACCCAUUCCCGAUAUUCUGCAUAUAUCCCCAUCCUCUCCCCAUUCCAGACAAAAUUGCUUUAGGGAAUCCCUCUCCCCUCCCCAAAUAAUAAUAGGGGAUCCCUGAAGGUCCUCGAUCCUCGAAUAACUAAUACGUUUUUAGUUUUAAAUUUUAAUUUAAUCAUAUUAAAAUAAAAAAUUUAAAUAAAAAUAAAGUUUGACGAUAUAUCUUACAUUAACAUUAAUCUAUUAAAAAAGUCACAUUACAAAGUAUAAAUCACCAUAAUAAUUAUCUUCGGCAAUCUUCAAAAUCAUAUAAUAAAAAAAAAGAAAUUACUUUUAUAUCAACAAUAAGAUAAAUGAAAUGAAUAUAGAUACUUAAUCAAUAUUUCUAAUAAAAGUAUUCACCUCAUGCGUCUCCUACUCUUCUUGUUCUUCCUCGAGGAAUGUGACAAAUUGAGAGAUAGCCUUAGAUUUCAAGUUUAAAACAAUAAAAAUAAUAUAAGUAAUGUAAAUUCUAAGUGAAAAUAUUAAUAAUUAUAUAAUAUAAUUACAAUGUAAAAUAAACUCAUACUACCAUUGUAAGCUUGUAGUCAACUUUGACAACUUAUUAAAGCCUCCAAUGUGCUUGAAUAAAGCGUGUUACGAUACUCUACCACAGGUGCUAAAAGCUAAUUCAGAAGCAACAUUUGUAAUUAGAAUUGCCAAAAUAUCUCUAGCAAUUCGUGCCAAUAUAGGAUAUCUAUAGACAUUUGUUUUACACCAACUCAAAAUAUUAAAAUCUUUCAUCCGUGGCAUAACUUUUUCAUCCAAAUAUUAAUGUAGUCAAUUAGGCCUAAAGUUUAAUAAUAUAAUUAUUUUAAUUUUUUUAUUUAUACUAAUAUUUAAUAUUUUAUUAUUUAUAUUUUAUUAUUUAUUUACAAAUAAUUUUAAAAAAAUUAAAAUUAAAAUUAAAAAAUUGGAAGGGGAUAGGGAUUCCGCUGCAUCCCCGUCCUUUUUUUGAAUAAGAAAUUGGGUAAAAAAACUAUUUCCGUCGCUUUUCUAAAUAAAAAAUUAAGUAAAAAAUUAUGUACCCUCCUGAAUUGGGAAAAUCUCGAGGGUCAUGUCCCCGCGGGAAUAUCUGCCAUUCCAAAACUUUGUAACAGCCACUUGCUUUUGUGACCGUUUAUGUGACGGCUAGACUGCUCUCACUUAUGUUACUAACCACGUGACGGUAGAGAGCCAAUUGGCAUACUAUUAUUUUGACGGUAGAGUUAUAAAUUUGUUUCUAAAUAGAAAACUAUUUGCUGGAGUCAAUAUUUUGAAGACCAAAGUCCCAAAUUCUCUCUCGUGCCUGGCCAGCAUCCUAAACCUUACUGGUAGCCGGAGAAUGGCGUAAAACGGCGGCGAUCUUCUUCUUCAUCUUAUUCUCUCUCUCAUCGUUUCAGGUAAGCUUGUGAUUAUGAGUUUCUUCGCUUUCUUAGCUUGUAAUUAUAGGUUUUGAUUUCUUUAAUUCGUUUUGUAGCCAUUAAUGUCAAUUUUUGUCCCACCGGCAAUGUUUUUUGUUCCUAGAAGUUGAAGCCCUUCUGUUCUUGUGCCAUUGGUGAGUUUGCUCACUCAAAUUAAUUUUGUUCUGCGGAGUUUACAAAGUUCAAAUGGACUCAUUUGGAUUACUAUUGAAUUUAGCUUUAAUUCCAACAUCCAUUCUAAUGUUUUGCCAUUAGAUUUACUUUAAUUUUAUCUUUAAAGCUUCUACAAUGAAUAGCGGAGCUUGGGUUUUAGUUUCAAUUUCUAAUUAACUUGUUUUAGUUUAUCUUAUAUGCUCGCCAAGUGCUUGUUAUAUUGUCUGAUAAGUUAUAUAACAUUGCUGAUUCUAUAUUAGUAAUGUCAUGUUCCAUUUUCGGAAAUUAUAACACAAAAGUUUUUACAAUGGCUUGCAUCUACAAACUGAAUUGACUUGUAGAGUAAGAGCUUGGAUUAGUGUUAUGUUCUUGAAUAAAUGAAAGUUCAUAUUGUGUAAGAGCAUGUAGAUGUAAAGCAUCACUACCAUUUCUACAAACUGCUUUCAUUCUGUUCAGAUGCUCCUCUUGAACUUUGAAAGGUGCCUCAUUCAAGUCCUAGCUGUAACUACUAGCUCUGAUUGCUUAAGUUCCUGUGCUAGCUGAAACAGAUUUAUUUAAUUAAUUAAUUGUGUAUGUACUAAUUAUAUUGAACGUAUAUGAAGAAAUUGUUUAACAUGAAUGACUUCUAAAUGACUUAAAAGCCUAAAGGAUAUGUGAAAUAAUGCUCAUUUCACUUGAACGAGCCUAUUAAUACUUGUAUGUCUGAUGGUUGUCGAAGCCAACAAAAAUAAAUUCAUACUCUAAAUAAAUUGUGUAUAGUGAUUGAGCAAGGUCAUGUCCACAGAGAUCGGUAAUUAUUUAAAUCCUUUUGAAACGUAAAACGUAAAAUGGGGGAAUUGUUGACAAUAAUAAAAAUCAAAUUAAAAUAACAAGAAUGCAAAUUAAAGUUGUAAUUCAAAUUAGAGAAAGCUCUGGUUGAAGGAAUUAAUUCAGCUUGAUUCGACUACUGAUCAUUGAUUCAAAUAUAGAUUAUUAUUACUUAUGAAUAGACCGGUUAUAGCUACUGAGACCCUCUAAUAGCCAAUCUCUCCUUAACUAGUCGAUAACCAAGGUACGACUGUUGGUUAUUUCCCUAAUCAAUAGACAACCCUAGAUACGAUCAUAGGAUUUAAUCAAUUGACAGCCUGAAAAACCAGAGAGACCCAAAUCCUAAUCAACACAUACGAUGAUUCAUUUAAAUUAGAUUGUUUAUUCUCACAACACAACUCUCUGCUAUGUUAUUUGUCACAAACAUUAAAUUCUUCAUACGAUGAAUCCUUUAAUUGACAAUAGAUUAAGUUGAUAAUUAAAUAGUGGCCAAUUACCUAAUUAACAAACAUAAUCAUGAAAAUAAUUCAGAGAAUAAACAAAUACCCAAAAAGUAAUAAAACAAUUAAAGCAUAAAAUAGAUCUCACAAUAGUGAUGAAUCAAAGCUUCAUUAUCCUUCAACCAGAAAAAUAUAUUUAGUUCUUCAUAGAGAGAAGAGAAAAGUUUAGAUCUAGGGUUUCUUUCUCUUCUCUUCAAAAGUCCCAUUUUUCACAAUAGAUUCCUCUCUUAAAUACUCUCUCUCUCUUCUCCUCUAGAAUUCUAUUUAAAAUAAAAUACUAAUAUAUGAAAUAUUAAAUUCGUAAUUACAAAAAUAACCAAAAAUACAAAACACGUUAAACUAAAAACUGUAGGUCCGUAGUUGCAGCACGCGCCCACGCGUUAUCAACAAAGUUCUUCUGACGCUCAUAAUUUCUCCAAGAAAGCAAUCAUCUUUAAACAUCAUCUUAUAGCUCAAUUUUAUCACAAAUCAAUAGAAUUGCACCUACAAAAGUAAAACACAAGUAAAUUAUCAUUAUUAAGUGCAAAACAUCAAUAUUAAGGGAAGUAAACAAUGCAAAACUAGUGCAUAAAUUGCACUCUAACAAAUUCCCCCACACAAAGAUGAUGCUUGUCCUCAAGCAUAUAACUCAAGACUAAUCCCAAAUCUCCACUCAAUUCUCAUCUCAACUCAUCCAAAAACAAUUUUAAGCAAGUAUACCUCAAGAAAUUAAGUCGAUCAACAUUCGAGAGACAAGGAUUUUAAAGCAUAGAAUCUCAUAAGAUAGAAUAAGAACAUUCAACCACCAAGAAGAUCCAUUCAAAAUUCAAGUGCAACAAGAUUUAAUAGCCCUCUCAUUGACCUCACUCCAUGCACUCAAAGUGUUUAGGGUGUCAUUUAUUCACUCAAAUCAAAUCAAAGAAUGUUAUUACCAUAAACUUGCUUAUAUAUCACAUCUCAAUCCACAAAACAUGAAUUAAAUGCAAAAAUCUAAGGGUCUUAAAAGGUUGUAACGGGGUUAAAUGGGUUAAAUGAAAAAGAAAAGUUUAUGAAAGAAAAAGAGAUCAAAAUGAGAAGAAUGAACUCAUUGAACGAACUUUAUGAUAUCGAAACGCUUAUUUCUACACAAGUCACCAAGAAUGUAAACAUUUUUUUUUCUUUUUCUUUUUUUUUUUCAAUUUUUUUUUUCGAUUUUUCUUUUUCUUUUUCUUUUUUUUUUUGAAUCAAACAAAAGAAACGAACCUUGCACAAUUUAAUUCAGGCAUAAUGCUUGUUGAUCUAAUUGAGAAACUUUAAUACAAGGUAGAAAAAGCAACAAAAUAUAUACAAAAUAUAUCCACACAAUGAGUCCAAAAAUCUCCUUAAAUUGAGGCUCAAAAAGAAGAAAAAUGGUUAAGUAGACGGAGAGAAUUAGAUGGGUAAUGGUUAAGGCUCAAACAAAGAUAGUAAAUCAAGGUCUUCGGGUAGAGAAAAAAAAAUGCGAGAAUAGAAAAAUGGUAAAUGGUUUGCCCUUAUCAUUUUAAUGCAAAAAAUCCGUAAUGUGGCUUCAACAUGCAUAACAAAGCAAGUUCUAGAAUAAACAAACUAAGAUUGAUAUUCACAUAACAAAAAUAAUAGAGCAAAGUGGUUGCUCAUAGGCUCAAAUCCUCACAAAGUUGGUAAAUUUGCCAUCAAAUCAUGUGCACUCUUCAAAUGAAUCAACCAUCAAUAGUGGUGUAGAAUGAGAAGAAGGUAUGAUUGAGAUAUGAAAGGAAAGGUAAAAAGGAUAAUAAGCGAGAAAGAUGUAUGUAGUAAAAAAAAUGAAUGAUAAAAUGUGAGUGAUGAAAGAGUAUGAUAGAAUAAAAAUAUAUGUAAAUAAUUUGAGGUAGAUGGGAAAAGAGUAGUGAGAGAGAAAGGAAAAGAAAAUUAAUAAUAUAUGAAGCAUACUAACUCCAAAAUCAUUUAAGGAUGAGUAGAGUGAAAAUAAUAAUUCCAAACAUCAAUAAUGUAAAAAAAUCCCUCCCCCACACCAAGAACUUACAUUGUCCUCAAUGUAAGAUAAUCAAAGCUCACAUAAAAAUUAAAGCGUAAGGAUAAAAGAUUAAAGACAAAAAAAAAAAAAAACUUCCCUGAAUUAUGAGCUUUGAUCCACAUAACGUCUAUGGGCUUGGCAGAAAUGGUGGGGUAAAUCCCACACUCUCGAAGUAUGCGGCCAAAUUCUGCUCCAUCUUGUUCAGCUUGUGCUCCAUUUUCUCUAACUGAAUGCUCAAAGGUGGUGCGGAUGUAGAAGGAAUAGUUGGCGGGGCAGCAGUGUCGUCGUCAAACUCGUCAUCAGAGGUAGCACCACUCCUAGCAUAAAGCUUCUUCGGAGGUUGAGUGGGUCCUGGUUCAGUAAAAUGAAAUCUCCCCUCCUUGAAUUCGACCAUACCUGUUCUUUCAAACACAGACAUAUCCAAAAAUUCCUUUUUGCAAGCAGGAUGCAAAUCAUUAUUGUCAGGAUCAAGCACACAUAGGUUUAUAGCUAACAGAGUAAUGUAUGGACCAAGAAAUAAAGUUCUAUACCGUUUAAGCACACUUUGAAAUUGAUCCGCUAACCAAAAACCUAAAUUAGGCCUCACAUCAUUUAACAUGCACCAGAUAAAAUAACAUUCAGUUUUAGAGAAAACUCCUGAGUGAUCUUUCUUACCGAAAAAAUUAUAUGCUAAGAAUCGAUGCACACAUUUCAAAACAGGAUCACGUAAGAAAGAACUCUUUGAUUUACUCGGGUCAUAGGCAUUGUGAUCAAUAGAUAAAUUACGCCAAAGACCAUAAGGCUCAAAAUUUUCGCUAAAGUCACAAGUUGUUCCUAAAUAUGCAUCACUAGAAGAAUAAUCAUCAUCAAUGAAUCCUAAAGCUAGGUUAAAAUCCGUGAUAGAGUGUAAAAAAUUUCGUCCCAUUAACCUAAACUUAAUGACAUCCGGGGUAUGCAAAGUAAAAUCAUUCGGCAUAUUAAAUUGAAAAGUAGCAUAAAACUUCCUAAUCAACUCAACAUAACCCAAACAAUCAACAUCAACAAACUUAUGUGACCCAAUCUUAUCUAUCAAAGAAUCAAAAUUAUCCUUAACAUUCAAUUUUUCAAGAGUCGGGUAAUGAAUAUACUUAGCUGGAAGUAUUUUGCGCGUGGAAAUAUCUUUGUACCUCUCUUUCUCUUGUUGAGUCGCGAAUGCGAGGCACUCUUUGAGAUUGGAUUCCGCAAGUGGCAAAACACUCAUGCCUUUUCCAUGUUUCGAUCUUUGUCUCACGGCUUGGCGUGAAUAUGAAAUUGUGUUCCAUGGAACCGUAGUGGGAGCGGCAAUCUUAGAUUUCUUUGCGACGAGUGUCUUUUUAGAUGACUUGGAAGUAGAUGCUUUCCUCUUCGGCAUUGUUACAAUAAUUGCACUCACGGAUUUCGAUUUACCUGGCUGGAAUACAGGGCGUAGGUUGGAUCUGCGUUGCGUUGCUGCUUGGCUGGAGCUUGCUGCGCAGGUUGGGGCUGGUUGCGCGCUGCUGCUGGUUGUGUUGCGCGCUGCUGCUGGUUGUGUUGCGUGAUGCUGCGCGCUGCGGGUGGAAUUGGUUGCGCGCUGCUGGGGCUGGAUUCGGGUUGCGCGCGGGGGCUGGGGAUGCUGGUGCGCGCUGCGGGUGGGACUAAUGCGCUGCGCUGAGGCUAAUUCGCGUUGCUGGGGCUGCGUUGUGGGAUGCUGGUGCUGUGUUGCGUUGCGCGCGGCUGCUGCUGCUGCAUGGCUGCGGCUGCUGCUGCUGCGGGUGAAAACGAUAAUCAACAGUGAAUUUUUAUUUUAUUUUUUUGAAUUAGGGAUUUAUGAACAGUGAUUUGUGAUUUUUGUUUUUUUUUUGUUUUUUUUAAAUAAAAAAAAUAUGUAUAUAUAAAAGAAAGAAAAGAAGGAAAAAAAAUAAUAUUUUUUUUUUUGUGAUGAAUCACUUUGAGACACUAAAAAUUUCAGAAGUACUUUUCUAAUAAGCACGUGGGCACGCCUUAAAACCAUUUUAUUUUAAAAAUCACAGAAGUACUUAUUAGUUAAGACGUGGGCACGCCUUAUCAAAAAUUUUCUUCUGACCAAAAUAAGCAAACACAUUAAAAAAAAAUGAAUCAAAAUUAAAAGAAGAUAUAACAAAAACCAAAAUAAAUAAAUCAUUUGGGUUGCCUCCCAAAAAGCGUCUUUGUUUUAUGUCUUUGGCUAGACACAUUUAUGCAUCAAUCUCCAUAAUUGGGACUCUCGAGAGCCACAUCCUCCACAAUAUUCACAAAAAAACCUUCAUAAAAAGGUUUUAAGCGAUGACCAUUAACCUUAAAAAUUUUGUCAGAGGUCGGACUUCGAAUCUCAACUGCACCAUGAGGGAAAACAUUAGUAACAAUAAAAGGUCCAACCCAGCAAGAACGUAAUUUACCCGGAAAAAGUUUAAGCUUAGAAUGAAAAAGAAGAACUUUUUGACCAACAGAGAACUCCUUUCUCAAAAUCAUUCUAUCAUGAAAUGUCUUCGUUUUUUCCUUGUAAAUAACUUCCUGCACUAUAGGGUUAAUAACAUCCACAGAAAAUACCGAAUGUUCCUCACUAGGAUAUUUCAUGGCAUCAUUCAUAUUGAAUUCUAUAACCUCUCCAUCAAACUCCAUAGUGAGAGUCCCUUUAUGUACAUCCAUUUUAGUCCUAGCAGUCUUAAGAAAAGGUCUUCCUAGCAAAAUUGGGACAAAAUUGGAGGAGUUAUCCUCUUCCAUAUCAAGUGCAUAAAAAUCAGCAGGAAAAACCAACUCAUUAACUUGUACUAAGACAUCUUCUAAUACCCCAUCAGGAUAUGCAUUAGACCUAUCAACUAGUUGAAUUAUCACGCCAGUUUCUUUUAAUGGACCAACAUUCAAAGAUGAAUAAAUGGAACGAGGCAUGACAUUAAUAGAAGCUCCUAGAUCUAACAAAGCCUUUUCAAUUCUAACACUACCAAUUUUACAAGGGAUAGUAAACAUACCUGGAUCCUUGCACUUAGAGGUAGUUUCUUUUGGAGAACUGCUGAAACAUUCUCCCCCAUGUGAACUUUUUCAUCUCCUCUUAAUUUUCUCUUAGAGGUGCACAGUUCCUUAAGGACUUUAGCAUAUCGAGGUAUUUGUUUUAUAGCAUCUAAUAAAGGAAUAUUUACCUCAACCUUGCGAAAUGUCUCAAGGAUGUCUUUCUCUUGUUCCUCCUUCUUGGAUAUUGCAAACCGGCUUGGAAAAGGAGGAGGUAUCACAAUAGGUAGGGGUUUCGCUCUGGUGGGUUGCGCAUCUUGAGAUUUAGGCAUCAAUUCAUUCUUCUCAAGCUCAUCUUCUACAUGCUUUGUCACUUUCUUACUAGGCUCUUGCAACUCCUUCCCACUUCUAAGGAUGACAGCACUAACGUUUUUCUUUGGAUUCACCUCAGAUUGUGAAGGCAAUCUCCCUAAUACUUGAGACUCCAGAAGGCUCACUGUAGUCGCCAAUUGACUCAUUUGGUUCUCCAAAUUCUGAAUGCUUGUUGUAGUUGCCUGCUGAAAUUGUUGAGUGUUAGUCGCAAGUGAUUUAACAAUUUCUUCAAGAGAUAUACCUGACUUAGAGUUUGAUUGUGGAGGUGCUGGUUGUCUUGGUGGAUACUAUUGUGGGAAUCCUGACGGCCUAACUCCAUAGCUGAAGUUGGGGUGAUCCUUCCAUCCCGGAUUGUAUGUUUAUGCAUAAGGAUCAUACCUCCUCUGAGGCAUGCCUGGAAAUCCUCCAACUGCAUUGGUUUGUUCAACGGGUUCUUCUUGAAGUGUAGGACACAUAUCAGUUGAAUGACCCAUAUUGUAACAAAUGCCACAAGUCUUCACCUGUUGCACAUUACCUACAACAAACUUUUCCACAAGAGAAGUAAGUUUAUCUAAACUUUGUCCAAUAGAAGAAAUAUUUACCUCAUUUACCUUCCUUGAAGUGAGAUCUUGCCUGCUGCCAAAUUGUUGUGCGUUGGCAGCCAUAUUUGAUAUCAGCUCCUUUGCUUGAGUAGGGGUCUUGUUCACCAACACGCCUCCACUAGCAGCAUCUAUCAUACUCCUAUCCAUCAAUGACAGUCCUUCGUAAAAAUAUUGAAUAAGAUGUUGAUCAGAAAUCUGAUGCUGAGGACAGCUGGCACACAAUUGUUUGAAUCGCUCCCAAUACUCAUACAAAGUCUCCCCAGGAAGUUGUCUGAUCCCACAAAUGUCUUUUCUGAUGUUAGCAGCUCUUGAAGCAGGAAAGUAAUUCUCGAGGAAUUGCUUGUUCAAACCAUUCCACGUUGUAAUUGAUCCAGGAGGCAAGUAGUACAACCAGUCUUUAGCUAGUCCAUCUAAAGAGAAAGGAAAAACACGCAGCUUAAUCUGCUCUUCAGUCACGCCUUGUGGUCUCAUACUUGAACACACAACAUGAAACUCCUUAAGAUGUUUAUGAGGAUCUGCACCUGCAAAACCAUGAAACUUGGGUAAUAAAUGAAUAAGACCAGACUUUAAUUCAAAAUUUACCUCCAAGUCUACAUAUUGAAUGCAGAGUGGUUGUUGACUCAAGUCUGGUUCAGCUAACUCUCUAAGAGUUCUUUCUACAGGUGCAGGUCUAUCUAUCAUUUGUUCUUCUGAAUCGCUAGAUGAUUCAACUAAAUCAGGCACUGUAUCUAUUUCAGAAAGCAAAGGCGACGAGGAUCGUUACUUAGCUCGCUUCGUCUGCUGUCUCAGCUGGCGAGCUGUCUUCUCAAUUUCAGGAUCAAACGAAAGUGUACCUGUACGAGAAGAACGAACCAUACACCAAGUAAAACGUAAAAAGGAUUAAAUAAAUGACACCAAUCCCCGACAACGGCGCCAAAAUUUGAUGGUUGUCGAAGCCAACAAAAAUAAAUUCCUACUCUAAAUAAAUUGUGUAUAGUGAUUGAGCAGGGUCGUGUCCACAGAGAUCGGUAUUUAAAUCCUUUUGAAACGUAAAACGUAAAAUGGAAGAAUUGUUGAUAAUAAUAAAAAUCAAAUUAAAAUAACAAGAAUGAAAAUUAAAGUUGUAAUUCAAAUUAGAGAAAGCUCUGGUUGAAGGAAUUAAGUCAGCUUGAUUCGACUACUGAUCAUUGAUUCAAAUAUAGAUUAUUAUUACUUAUGAAUAGACCGGUUAUAGCUACUGAGACCCUCUAAUAGCCAAUCUCACCUUAACUAGUCGAUAACCAAGGUACGACCGUUGGUUAUUUCCCUAAUCAAUAGACAACCCUAGAUACGAUCAUAGGAUUUAAUCAAUUGACAGCCUGAAAAACCAGAGAGACCCAAAUUCUAAUCAACACAUACGAUGAUUAAUUUAAAUUAGAUUGUUUAUUAUCACAACACAACUCUCUGCUAUGUUAUUUGUCACAAACAUUAAAUUUUUCAUACGAUGAAUCCUUUAAUUGACAAUAGAUUAAGUUGAUAAUUAAAUAGUGGCCAAUUACCUAAUUAACAAACAUAAUCAUGAAAAUAAUUCAGAGAAUAAACAAAUACCCAAAAAGCAAUAAAACAAUUAAAGCAUAAAAUAGAUCUCACAGAAGUGAUGAAUCAAAGCUUCAUUAUCCUUCAACCAGAAAAAUAGGUUUAGUUCUUCAUAGAGAGAAGAGAAAAGUUUAGAUCUAGGGUUUCUUUCUCUUCUCUCCAAAAGUCCCCUUUUUCACAAUAGAUUCCUCUCUUAAAUACUCUCUCUCUCUUCUCCUCUAGAAUUCUAUUUAAAAUAAAAUACUAAUAUCUGAAAUAUUAAAUUCGUAAUUACAAAAAUAACCAAAAAUACAAAACACGUUAAACUAAAAACUGUAGGUCCGUAGUUGACAGCACGCGCCCACGCCUUAUCAACAAAGUUCUUCUGACGCUCAUAAUUUCUCCAAGAGAACAAUCAUCUUUAAACAUCAUCUUAUAGCUCAAUUUUAUCACAAAUCAAUAGAAUUGCAUCUACAAAAGUAAAACACAAGUAAAUCAUCAUUAUUAAGUGCAAAACAUCGAUAUUAAGGGAAGUAAACAAUGCAAAACUAGUGCAUAAAUUGCACUCUAACAAUGUCUAUGAUUGUCAAUCUUGCUUUAAGUGUUUCAGUUAAGUGGUUUACCUAACAGGGAAAAAAAUUUAAUGGAAAACUUUAGAGUUCUAACAGAAAUAUAGUUGACUGCAGAUAUAGCUAUUUUGCAGUACAUAAAUUAUGUUGUCCUAUUCUCAAUGUCCUACGACCUAUUUUAUUUUAUAUGGUCAUUCAUUUUUGCGAUGGUUUUUUGUGCUUAUGAGUAUGGAAAUAGUGGGAUUUGGUGUGGCAAACAAAAAUAUACAUAUAAUCAAGUUUCUUAAUCAUGUAUAUUGGUUUUGGGUAUGAAUGUUUUCCUAUUCUAGUUCUAGGCAAAGUUUCUUCAUUUUGGUCUUCAGAUUUCCAGUAGGUUAAGUUAAGCAACUAUCAUAACUAGCUAGCUAGUUAUUGCCUGCCUUGUCGCCAUUACAUUGCAUGGCAUAAGGAAUAGUAACUAGGUGAUUAUUGGUGAUUCGUUGAGUUUAUUAUUGGCCAAACUAACAUAUUCGCCUUUACCCACAACUUAGUUUGAUUAGAUAUUAGAUAAUAAAGAGCCUUAAUCUAUGCAUUGCUUUAUUAUUUUUAUUUGGUUUUUCUUUCAACAAUAUUGUUGAUUUCUUAUAAAAAAUAUUCAUUGGUUUUUAAACACCUAAUCAUUGGCUAUGAUGAAGCUAAUUAAAACGAAGGCUUUGGAUCAAUUUCUUCUAACAACAUACAAAUGAGCAUAACCACCCCCUCCCCCCGAACCCAAAAAAAAAAAAAAAAAAAGGAAGACUUUGCAAGAUUCACAACCAGGUUACAUUUAAUUUAUUAAUUGUGUGUACGUACUAGUUAUUUGUUGAUAGAAUAGGAAGAAGUAUUUUAAUAUGAAUGACUUAAAACUUGUUGCUCAGUAAACAUAAUGUGCAUCAGUGCUAGAAAAUGUAUUUAUUGUUUGUAAUUUUUUAUGGUUUUGCUUAAGAAAUGAAAUGUGAAAAAAUGCUACAUUGUAUUAGGAAUAAAUUGAAGAGAUUUAUGAUUUUUAUGUGUUAUUCAAGUUUCAGAUUCAAUUUUAAACUUUUGAUACAUGCAUUGAAAGCUUAAACUCCUUUAAGAAAUUAUUAAUAGACACAUGUUUUAUUAGUGUCAUCUUUUGGAUGAUAGUGAGGAUCUUAUGUCUAUUAAUAAUUCUUGAAUUAUCUAGGCUUGGACAGUUUGGUAAUGCAUAGUUUUCUAUGGUAGCUAGUGCCUGAAAUUUUUUUCCCACGUAAAAAUGGGUUUUUCAGCAGCUGCUCCUCAUGUUCUCUGGGUGCAUACUAGACAAAUGGGUGUCAUGUGUUGUUUUGGCAUAACACAUAAACACUCAUAUAUCUAUGUCGCGUACUUGAAGAACUAUAGGGAGAUGCUUCCGAAGUUUCUAUAAACGUAGAGGAAAACUUUAGAUACUUAAGAUUGAAGAAACUUAUGCAUUCUUGAGUGGGAUAUAUAGGACCACUUACCUUUUGUAAAUAUGAAGGGAAUGUUGGAUAUAUUGAUGGGAGUGGAGGAGCUGAGUGGGAUGAAUGUAAUCGGUUAUGAUUUUGCUGAGUCGACUUGGUUUUGAGUCUUGUAAUUUUGUUUAUAAAUGGAGUACUAUCUCCAAUGUUGGUUUAUAAAUAUGUUUCAGCUGGCUGACCUAAUUUUUUGUUUCUAGGUAACAGGCUUUAUAUAUCUGUAAUUGAUAGCCAAGUGAAGUUCUCAGCAGUGGGUAACAGGCUUUACAGAAGAAUACUAUAAAUAAUUCUUGAAUUAUCUAUGCUUAUUGACCAUAGAUCAAAACAAUCUCUUCCUUUUCAACCCCAUCUCUGUCAUUGCUCUGCAUCCGUAUACAUAAAGUGAUAUGAGUCGCACUAGAGUUUUUGCUGUGGAGGAUGUUACUAAGUGUAUCAAUUUCUUGCAACCGAAAGCUACAAGUUUUGUUAGGUUCCCAAAAGAUACCGAUGAUGAUGGCAAUAGAAUUAACAGACUUUGACAAUAAUAUACUCUUAGAAUUUCAAGAUACUGAAAAAUGGGGGCAAGUUUGGAGUCUUGUUUGCACAGCUGCCUCAGAUGAUAGUGCCGGUGCAGCUUUAAUUCUUUUAUCAUUGCCAACUUCCCCACAUGUUUCUCUCAGCAUCCUUCCUUCGAAAAUUCCUCUUCGUUGAAUGAAAAAUAAACCAGUGCGAGUAUUUCGAGAUUGUGAAAUCUCUCCAGUACGUUCCAGAUUGGAAAACAAGCUGAGUCAUCUCCGGCAAUCUCUAGUUGUUUAAGACUGCCAAAAAGGUGUUGUGGGAAAUCGGCCUGCAAAAUCAUCUUCACAUCUUUUCCACUUAGUGAUAGUUCCUUCAAGUUGGGUACGAUCUGAUCAUCAUCAAUCAUAAUAACUAAUGAGGUCAAUUGAUGUUCUUUCAAAUGAUUUUGAGUAAUCCAAUCACGCAGUGACUUUAUAGUAUUUAUUUUAUAUUAAUUUUACCCCUAAAAAAAUUGAAUUAGUGAUAAAAUUCAUUAUAUGAUUUUUUUAUAUGUUAGUUUUAGAGGUAAUAAAGAAAUUAGGGAAAAAAACGAAAUUAUUUUAUUGCACGAUAGUAGACUCUUGCUUCUCAGUGCCUUUGCCACUGUAGUCAAGGCAAUGGGCAAACCUCCACACAACCUGGCGACGUCUGUUGCUGUAGAUUCCAACUCACGAUUUUCAACAUCAUCACCGGCCAUCAUCUUAAACAAUCUCCAGGCUUCUUCUUCAUUUAAAUUGUUAAUCAAGAAGUUGUCUUUAGAUCCCAUUUUUAAGAGGACGCCACGAUCUCUUGCUGUCAGCAGUAGUUUGCAGCCUUUAUGAUCUUCUCCAAAAGGAAUUCCAACUGUCUCCAAGUCAAGGUGCUUCCAGAUGUUAUCUAAAACCACAAGGAUCUUCUUCUCAUUUCUCAAUCGCUCAAAUAGUUUACAUGCUCUUCUAGAUUCAACUUCCUCGUGCAACUCCAGGCCCAACUUCUCGGCAAUUUCCUGUUGAAUCCUUUUUAUGUCUGGAAUUUGGGAAACCUCUGAAAAGACCACCAUAUCAAAGAGCUCGUCUUCCAUAGCUUGCCUGGCGACCUUCUUCACCAGUGUCGUCUUUCCAAUGCCGCCCAUGCCGUACACCCCAAUGAUGCUGACACUAACAUCGAUCAAUGCGUUUUUUACAACUGACUUCAUCAACAAAGCUUUUGUGAAUAUGCGUUACAUUACAACUGCGAUAUCCUUUCACUGUAUAUUCAUACAGUGGCAGGCCAUGUGACGUUGUGACCCAUGUGCUAGCUUUCACUAUUCAUAUUAUUUUUUUACACGGUGUUUAACAAAAUCUUCACGUAAAGAUUUCAGACGCGUGAUCCUAAUUCAGUAUGCAUUAUUUAUUUAUAAAAUGAAAAUAAAAAGAUAAAAGGAUGUGACUUAACUUGCUAUCAGUGCGGAUCCAGGACUUAAUAUUAUUUCGGGUUAAAUUUUAUAUUUUAAAAUUUAUAUUUUGAAGUGAACAUAAAAAUUUAUAAGUAGAAAGAAGUAUAUUAAAUGAGGGGAGAUAUGGAGAGCUUUAUCCCUAUGAAUAUGUAUUAUAAACGAAAAUAAUUGUAAGAAAAGAGUAGAAACCAAAAGGCAAUUCAAAUAUCAAAACAUUAUUUUUCAAUUAUGGAAUCCGAUAUUGCAACCUAUAAUAACAUGUAAUUAUAUAAGGAUUAAUAAAUCAAUUAAGAAUUUCAAACUAAAUUAGAUCAGUACAUGUGAUUAAAAUUAAUUAAAGAUUACAAGUAAAACUUUUUUGUUUGAAGUCAAGUACUAAAUUACCAAGCUUAAAUAAAUUUAAAAAAUUAAAAUUCAUUCAUUCUUUCGAAUUAUAAAAGUAUUAUUAAUAAAAAAUUUAGUAAUAAACUAAAUUCAAUUCAACAAAAAGUUAUUUGGAUAUCGUUGUUUCAUUGCCAGUGCACUAACUUUCUUUAUAGAAGUAGAUGUUGAUGAUUCUUCUAUUAAAGUUCCUCAAAAUACCUAAAUUUUAUUUUCUAACUUCUUCUCGUAGUUAAUGUAACUAAUAAAUAGAAUCUAAAAAAUCACAUAAAAUGUUUAUGAAAAUGUUGAUAAUUGUUACUAUUUAUUGUUUUCGUAAGUACUUUUAAUGCUAGUGACGAUGUUAUAUUACAUUGAUUUAUAUUUUUUUUCAAUUAGAAGUUUUUUAAAAUAAAUUAAAGCGAUAAUAAUACUUUAGCUCCUAAUGUUUUCAAUCUAUCCACUAAGUAUAUAAUUUAAUCAUUUUAUAAAAUAAGUCACUAAUUUCAAUUGGAAAUAAUACAAUUUAAUUAGGGAUAUAUUUGAAUAUAAAAUAAUAGCCCAAUUGUUAUACUAAAUUGAUGAAAAUAUAAGGGUAAUUGAGUUAGGGAAAUAUUUGAAUAUAAAGUAAAAACUCUAUUGUUAAACUAAAUUGAUGAAAACAUAAGGAUACUUGAGUUAGGGACAUAUAUGAAAACAAAAUAAAAACUCUAUUUUUAUAAAAAAAUUAUAAGAAAACAAGGUGUAUAAAUGAUUUUUUCUGUGCUAGACCAAGCUACAACCCAGUCUAGCCCAACUGUAGGUCCGCCACUACUUGCUAUUUACAUACAGACAUGUAGCCCUUAUUCUAAUAUCUAUAGGAAAAGACACUUAUACUCCAAGAUUUGAAGAAAUGGUCACGUAGAUCUCUAAGUUUUCAGUAACCAAAAUUUCUUUUUGACUAUAAUACUUUUUGUACAUAGUAAAUAAAAAAUGACUUUAAGAUUUUUUUUAAUAAAUAUAAAUAUAACUUAAAUAGUUUAAUCUGUCUAAUAGACUAAUAAUAUUAGAAUAUUUUUAAUAUAUAAAAUAUUUUUUAAAUAAAAACAUUAUAUUUAUUUUAAUAAUAUAUUUUUAUUUAUCAUAAAAAUAUCAAAUAAAUCAUUGGGGUUAAAUAGAAUUUAAAAUUAAUAAAACACAUCUCAUUAAUAAAAUAUAUCUCAUGUAGUAAUAAUAUUGAAAUUAUUUUAUAUAAUAUUUAAAAAAUUUAUAAAAUUUAUAAAAUUUAUAAAAUUUAUUUUAAUAUUAUGUUCUUAUUUAUUAUAAAAUUUAGUCUAAUAUAAUAUAAGAUUGUUAAGUAUAUAAAUAUUUUCCUAAAUUGAAGUUGUUUUAAAAUGUUAAUAUUUUAUGUUUAUUUCAAUAUUAUAUUUCUAUUUAUUAUAAAACAUAGGAGUCAAUUUUUUUGAGUUAAUAGAGUCAAAUGUAUUAUAGUCGAAAGAGGUAUUGGUAUUCCUUAUUAAAAAUUUAGGGGUCUACAUGACUAUUUGCCAAACCUUAGGUGUAACGUCCUUUUCUCCAAAAUUGAUUCUCUAUAGGUAUUUCAUGAAGGAAAAUGAUAUUUACAAUGAAUCAAACCCCGGACUAGUUAAAAUGCAUUAUUUCAGCUUAAAUAAUGGUAAAUAUUUGUUCAGUCUCUAUAUUUUGAAUUAAGUACCGUUUAGUCCCUCAAGACACCUUUGUCAGUAAGCACAAUAUAAUCCUACCCUUACUUUUUCUUUGAUUUUAUAAUAACAUGCUUGCAACAAUAUUCUUAGAUAUGUUAAUGUAAAGAAAAAUUUAAAUUUAUCAAAUCAGCCUUAAAAGUAAAAUACAAAUUAGUUGUUAUUAUUAUUAAUAAAAUAAUAAAAUAAUAAAAUAAUAAAAUAAUAAUAACAAUAAUUAACAUUAAUUAAAAUAAUAAAGUUAAUAUAUUAUAUAACAAAAAAAACAAUAUUUACAUUUAUCAAAUUUUCAUGUGUUUAAAAAAAAUUAUGUGAUAUUACAUUAUUAUCUUUACACAAUCAAUCAUUUUUAUGAUCAAGUUAGGCUAAUGGAUCAAGCUUUAAAAAAUUUAAAACAAUAGGAGUUAUAUAAAUAAAUAUUUAAAAAAUUUUGUUUUAUGAUAUUAUAAUAAACAGUAAAGAUUUAAGUCUUAAUAACCAAUUGAACACAUCUCAACCGUUGACAGUAGCGGCUCGACCUCUAGGCAACUUAAGCGGUUGUCUAGAGCCCCGCUUUACAUUAAGGUCCUAUGAAAUGAUUAUUUUGUAUAUAAAAGGGAAAAGUGAAUUUAAAAGUCAUUACUAUGCAUUUAAUUUGUUAUUAUUUUGUAAUUAUCUUUUUCUAAAUAAACUAUCAAAUUCCUAUAAAGUUUAUUUAAUGUAGUACUUAGUAGUUUUAAUUCCUACAAAACCGAUAAAUUAAUAGUUUCAAUCCUACAAAUUCUCUAUUUAAUUGUUAGAAUUAAUAUGUUAUAAUUAAAAAGUUUUAUAUUCAUUUUAAACCUCUAUAAAAGCCCCACAUUUUAUUACUUAUCUAUUAAAUUUUUCCUCUAAUAAUCAAGACACGAUAUGUUGUUAGUGUUUGAGAGAAAGAAAGACAGAGAUGGAAAAAAUCAUGCUUCCUCUACUUUCCACUCAAGAAGAAAAAAAAAAAUCUAAUAAUUUUCUCUAUACUCUAUGGCUAUUGGUCAUUACUUAAAUCCUCAAAUAAUUAAUAUAAAUAUAAAGUUAAUUCAUGAUUUCAUCUCAAAUUCCAGAUUUUAUCUUUUUAUUAUUCUCUUAAUUAGUUGUGUUAUUUACUUGUUCUUAUUUUUUUUCAAUAUAUUCUUUUAUUCAUCUACUUUUUUUUGUAUGCUUGUUUUAUCUAUUUUGAAAUAAAAUUAUAUCGAAAAACUUUAGAAAAUAGAAAAAUUAGUUUAAUCUAGAAAAGGAGUAGUAAAAAAGAUGUAAUUUGAGUUGAAGAACAAUAAGUGAAAAUAUUAUAAUUGAAUUAAAAUUUAAUAGAUAACCCUAAUUUUUUUAUAAGAACUAAUUAAAAUCAUUUGCCUAGGGCCCCAAAUAUGGUUGAGUCGGCCCUGACCGUUGAACACUUUAGCUAUUAGAUUCAUCAGUUGAAUUAGAAAAAUAUAAAAUUUGGGGUACCGUGCAACUGUUGCAAGGUAGGCGGACACGUUAUAUUUAAUAUAGAAUAAAUAAACUAAAUAUGUGUAAAGAAUAUAGGUUAUUAACCUUGCAAUACUUCAAAAAAUUAUAAAAUAAAAAAGGUGAAAUUUCAAAAUAAGGAACUGUAAAAAGUAUUAGGUUCUAAAAUUUUAUUAUUUUAAUAUUACAAAACUUUACUUUUUUAUAACAUUUUUGUUUUUAAUAUUAGUUGACAUGUUAGUUUAUUUGUAUAUAAAAUAUGUUAAUUUACCUAUAAAAUACUAAUAUUACUCUUGAAAUUUAAGGAAGCCAUUUUAAUUUUUUAAAAUUUUAAAUGUAGCCCAACAAAGUCAUAGAAAUAUAAAUAAAGAAUAGCAUAAAAGGAAGUUAGUUUAAUUUUUUGAAGAAUACUUCAAAAGCAUUUGAGUUUUAUGUUUCUUGAGAAUUAUACCUUUUUGUUUUUUAGAUAUUUGAGCUUGUGAAUCUUGUUGUAAUGAUAAUUUAUUAUUUAUUCUUGAUUAAAAAUAAUUGAAUAGUAAAUUUAUUGGUUUCUAAUUACUCUUUUAAAUGUAGGGCGAUUGCUUAAUUUUUAUUAUGUUACCCUAAAUUUUUUGAUGAUGGCUAAUCAACCACUGCAAAAGACUCUACCAUGAUUAUUUUUACUUUCUCUACAUCCCUCUAGACCAUCAUCACUCAAAGAAUUAAGAGUCCAUUUGGCAUACUGUAUUAUAUUAUACUGUAUUGCAUUAUUUAAUAUAGGUAUAUUGUAUUAUGUUAUAUUACAUUAGUACUAAAUUAUAAUAAUAUUUGUACAACAUUUGGUAAUUGGUAUUACAUUGUACUGCAUUAAUUUUAUAUUAAUAUUAUACUAACAUUAUUUAAAUUUAUUAUUAAUUAUAUUAAAUUAUUAUUUUUAUAUAAAUAUAAUAUGAUAUAAUAAAAUAAUAUGAUAGUAUAAUUUAAUUUUAUAUUUUUAUUUAUUAUUAUAAUAAAUAAAAAUAUAAUAAAAAUAUAUUUAAUGCUUAAUUAAGGUAAAAUAAUAAUAAUAACAAUAGUAUUACUUUAAACAAAAAAAUCUAUAAAGUUUAAAGAUGAUGAUGAUGAUGUUGACGACAUUAAUAAUAACAUAACAAUUAAAAUAAUAAAACAAAUAAAUUUUAAUGAUAUUAAUAUUAAUAAAAUAAUAAUAACAAUAAUUAAAAUAAUAAAAUUAAUAUAUUUUAAUAAUAGUAAUAAAAAUAAUAUUAAUGACAGUAAUAAAAUUAAUAAAUAAUAAUAAUGACUUAAUUAAAAAUAAUCAUAAUAAUUAAAAUAAUAAAUUUUGAUGAUAAUAAUAAUAAUAUUAUUAUUAUUCUUAUUAAUAUAAUAAUAAUGACAUUAAUAAAUAAUACUAAUAAUAACAGUCAAAUGUUUUUGAAAAACCAUUUUAUCCCAAAAAAAGGGACUUAUAUAUAAAAUUUUGUAACUUCUAAUGUCUAUUCAAUUUUUUCAUAAAAUAUAAGGUAGUGCAGUGUAAUUAAUAAAAAAGACAAAAUUCGGUGGUAUGCUGCAAUUGUUGCAACAUAGUUUCAUCUUUAUUUGUGAUCCUAAAGUUUGAGAUAUGUGAUCCUUAUUCUAUUGUGUCAAUUAUAGUCCAGUCCAAUGCCGCCAUCAUUAUCGAACAGUCGAUAUCCAACACUUGCACGAAGAUUCCAAGAAGUUGUGUGGCUGCCGACUUUUAAAUGCUAAGCCUUAUUGUGUCGAAGAUACACAAAACAGAGCAGUCCAGGUAAUUGCCAAAACUUAGAACUAAACAGUAGCUUAGUCAGAAAAUCAAACAAGUACCAAUAAAAUGACUGAUAAAAAUAUAAAGAAAUCAGUCAAAUCACGAAGAUUGAAGAGUAAAUCAAUGGUUUUAGAUUUUUAUUUUUUUUUUUAGAUAAUAGAUAUUAUUUUGAUGAAUUUUUUAAUAUUAGAAUAAUGUUAGGAAUUCCAAUAGUAGAAUUCUAGCUUAAGACCCAAUUAUUAUGUGUCAUUUUUUUAUUGGAUAAUGAAUUUCAUAACUAAUAAAAUUAAUAUUUCGAUCAUUUAAUAAAUGACUACCAUAUUAGUUGAGACUCAAUUAUUAGGAUCAUUAACAUUGCUCUUAGUAUUAAAUUGGACAUCUUAUCCAAAUCAGAUUAAAAAUCAAAUUAGAUUUUAAGCUUUUAUUCAACAUCUCCUUUUUUUUUUUUUUUUUUGGUCUAUUUGAAGUGAACAAAAUAAAAAUACAUUAGGGUCAACGACUGGGCAAUUGAUAGUCAAGUAUUUUGUUGUUUUUGCUACCUUGAAUUAAAUUUUCUCAAUUAGAUCAACAAGCAUUAAGCUUGAAUUAAAUUAUGCAAGGUUCAUUUCUUUUGUUUGAUGCAAAAAAAGAAAAAAAAGAAAAAAAAAUGUUUACAUUCUUGGCGACUUGAGUAGAAAUAAGCGUUUUGAUAUCAUAAGGUUCAUUCAAUGAGUUCAUUCUUCCCAUUUUGAUCUCUUUUUCUUUCAUAGACAUUUCUUUUUCAUUUAACCCCAUUACAACAUUUCUAAGACCCUUAGAUUUUUGCAUUUAAUUCAUGUUUUAUGGAUUGAGAUGUGAUAUAUGAGCAAGCUCAUGAUAAUAGCAUUCUUUGAUUUGAUUUGAGUGCAUAAAUGAUACCUUAAACACUUUGAGUACAUGGAGUGAAGUUAAUGAGAGGGCUAUUAAAUCUUGUUGCACUUGAAUUUUGAAUGGAUAUUUGAUAACUCUAGGAAAUGAGAGUUAUUACAUCAAUUCUAGACUUGAAUCAAGGUCACUUAGAGAACAAAUAAAGUGUUUUUAUUACAUUUUGGGUACCUUUUUGCAUAAACAUUCAUUUUAGUUGAGUCUAAUAAAUUUUGCUUGAAUCAUAGUAAUUUGUGCUAAAAACAGGUUUUAAAUUGUAGGUUUUAAAUUCGUGAGAGGAUGUUGAGGCAUUAGAAGAGCAAGAGGAGGAAGGAAGUUGGCCACAAAAGAAGUAAAGCACAAUCGGGAAUAAAACAGUAUUGUAGCAGCUGUUAGAGCAACCAGUGCUAUAACAAUCUUGGAGCAAUGCGGGAGAAAACUUAGGCGCGAGUCAGCCACAAAAUCGUGAUCUGCAUGUUUCCUAAUUCAAGCAUAUGCACGCUCAUAGGCUUUGGUUUAACCUAAUUUGCAAUAUAAAAAAGAGGCGUGCAGCACAUAGAAAGGCGGCAAGGAAUUAUCAUAAAAAAUAAUUACAAAGGCAAGAAGAAGGAGAUCAAGAUUAAAGAGUGCUAUUCGGAAACAAAAGGAGAGAGCCGUGCAGAAUUAUUUGCCUUUCAUCGUGCUCAACUUAUAUUUUCUCUUUUUCCUUGAAUUGUUGGGAUGUAUUCCGAGUUCAACAUAUUUGUGUUUAUUUUUCUCAUCCAGAUUAUGAACUAAAUUUACUUGUGGUUGAGUGAAAAAUAAUCCAAUGGGUUCUUGACUAUUCUUUUAUGUUGUUAUGGUAAUGUUGUAGCAUUAUACUCUAGUAGUUUUUAUGAAUACAACUGUUGUUUCGGUUCACCACCCAUUUAAUAGUUUCAGUUAAGAUAGAGCAGCAAAAGGGCAUGUCUUAGCGGACAUUAUUAGAGUAUUACUUGUUCUUAAGUCGAGUUUCCUGGAAUAUGUUAUCUUGAAUCCCAUAAGGGCAAUACUUGAAGUUAAGAUUUGUGACACUCUAGACAUAGGUGUUCACCUUGUAGGGUAGAGAGAUUAAAGGUUAUAAUGCCAUACCAUAAAUAUAUGAGCAACUGGUCAUUGUUAGUAGAUUUAAAAGUAUGAAAUUUCCAACAUGCGAUAGCUGCGGAUGCAGAUUUAUUCUACCCAUUGCUGCAGCACUUAUUGAAACAAUUGGUGCUAAUUUGGUAAACAACAGUCACCCCAUUAGGAGAGUUUGAUCAUUCAACUACUAUAUUUUCAAUUGAAUCUUAGACACAUUUAACUUAGUUUACUUCAUUACAGUAUUGUUUUAUUUUCAUCUCUCAUAAUUAUUAGUUACAGCAGAAUUAUUUGACAAUUGUUUGUUUCGAUCUUUAAUUGAUUUGCACUAUUGUGAUUGUUUUAGCAUUUUGAGUAACAGCAAUCCCUGUGGAGACGAUCUUGAAUACUCAUCACUUUAUUACUUGUUGUGUAUACUUGCACAUUGGCAUUGAUAAUAAUUGCUUAUAGAAAUUAACCAACAAGUUUUUGGCGCCGUUGCUGGGGAUUGAUUGUUUAUUUUUGAAGUGUGAAGUAAAUCUUGAUAGCGCCAAAUCUGAUUUGAUUUAUUCUAUUUAUUGGCAGAUCGGUACAUGCAUGUGUAAAGACAAAUCUGUGGUAUUCUAAUUCGAUCCUGAGAUUGAAAGGACUGUCAGGAGAUUACGAAGAGAACAAAGGAAUUCAGAAAUUGCUUCAAGCAUGAAUAAUUUACAAGAUGCAGGAAAUUUGAAUCCUCACGGGCCCUUACAACCAGUGAACAUUCAAGAAGAGCAGAAUGACCAUGCUAACGGGAGACAGCCAGGCAAUAACAAUAUUAUUUACAUGGCUGAUGACAGAGACAGAGCUAUAAGAGACUAUGUUGUGCUAACUCCUCAAGUUAUAUAUCCUGGCAUCAUCAGACCUGAAGUAGACGCUGCCAAUUUUGAGUUGAAGCCAGUGAUGUUUCAAAUGUUGCAAACUGUUGGGCAUUUUAUUGGAUUACCAAAUGAAGAUCCUCAUCUCCAUCUUAAAUUGUUCUUGGAAGUAAGUGAUGCUUUCAAGAUUGCUGAAGCAACACAAGAUGCCUUAAGGCUGCGGCUUUUCCCUUAUUCCUUAAGAGAUCGAGCAAGAGUAUGGUUAAAUUCGUUACCAUCUGAUUCCAUCACUACAUGGAAUGAAUUGGCUGAUAAAUUCUUAAUGAAAUAUUUCCCACCGACAAAAAAAUGCGAAGUUGAGGAAUGAGAUUACUUCCUUCCAUCAACUUGAAGAUGAAAGUUUGUACGAGGCUUGGGAAAGAUUCAAGGAAUUGCUCAGAAGGUGUCCUCAUCAUGGUAUCCCUUGUUGCAUUCAAUUGGAAACUUUUUACAAUGGGUUGAAUCCAAGUACAAGGUUAAUGGUGGAUGCUUCAGCAAAUGGAGCUCUGUUAUCCAAAUCUUACACUGAAGCCUAUGAAAUUCUGGAAAGAAUUGCCAACAAUAAUUACCAGUGGCCUUCAGCCAGGCAACCAGCAGCAAGAGGAUCAGCAGGGGUACAUAACAUUGAAACAAUUACAGCUUUAUCAGCUCAAGUAACCUCAUUGACUAACAUGGUAAAAGCCAUGACAGCUGCUCCAGCAACAGUAAAGCAAGUUACUGAACUUUCUUGUGUCUACUGUGGUGAAGAACAUGAUUUUGAUAAUUGUCUUGGAAAUCCAGCCUCAGUAAACUAUGUGGGUAACUUCAAUCGACAACCUCAGAACAACCCAUAUUCAAAUACUUACAACCCAAGCUGGAAACAACACCCAAAUUUCUCAUGGAGCAGUCAAAAUCGAAAUGCUCCAGCAUUGAAUGGACUAAGUACAAACACACAACCACUUAGUUUUCAUUAGCAAAGUCAAGGGCAAAAGCAUAUUAGUCAGGAUCCAAUCACUUCACUAGAAACACUGAUUAAGGAGUAUAUUGCAAAGAAUGAAGCAAUUGUGCAAAGUCAAGCUGUAUCUUUAAGAAACCUUGAGAACCAAAUGGGACAACUAGCUACAGCAAUGAGCAGCAGAACUCAAGGAAGCCAACCUAGCAACACAGAAGACCCUAGGAGAGAGGGCAAAAAAGAAGUUACAACACCAGUAGUUACAACUUGCACAAAAUCAAACAAACAAAGUUUAAUAUCCCCUGAAGUUACCCAGCAGUUUAGACAUCCACCACCUUUCCUACAAAGGUUCCAGAAGCAAAAAUAAGACAAGCAGUUCAGCAAAUUCCUGGAAGUGCUGAAAUAAUUGCACAUAAACAUACAUUUUGUGGAAGAUUUGGAGCAAACGCCAAAUUAUGUUAAAUUUCUAAAAGAUAUCUUGGCACGAAAAAGAAGGCUGGGAGAGUUUGAAACUGUUGCUUUAACACAAGAAAGCAGUCAUAUGCUCCAGAGCAAAAUUCCCACAAAAUUGAAAGAUCCAGGGAGUUUUACAAUACCUUGUUCUAUAGGAACUAGAUAUGCUGGCAGAGCACUUUGUGACUUGGGAGCUAGUAUUAAUCUGAUGCCAUUAUCUGUAUUUAAGCAACUGGGAGUAAGGGAGUGCAGACCAACAACAGUCACUCUGCAAUUAGCUGACAGAUCUCAUGCAUACCCUGAAGGAAAGAUAGAGGAUGUAUUGGUGAAGGUUGACAAAUUCAUCUUUCCAGUGGAUUUCAUUGUGUUGGACUUUGAAGCCGACAAAGAGGUACCCAUUAUACUUGGAAGACCUUUUCUAGCAACUGGAAAAACUCUGAUAGAUGUGCAGAAAGGAGAGCUCACCAUGAGAGUGAAUGAUCAGCAAGUCACAUUUAAUGUGCUAGAGGCAAUGAGAAACCCUAGAAGAUUGUAAUUUCCUAAGUGUAGUGGAUCUUGUUGUAGCAGACAGAAUGGACAGAUGCUGCAGUAAUAUACUUGACAAAGUCACCACCUUUGAGGAUGUUGAAGAGGAAGAUGUUGCAGCAAUCCAAACAGAUUGGAUGGACAAACAACAAUCUGAUAGGUACAACAGGUUUAUUGAACACCUGAAUCUUUUAGACAUGGAAGUAAAAACAACUUUACCAUCUAUUGAAUCACCUCAUAAUUUUGAGUUAAAAUUGUUACCUUCACAUUUAAAGUAUGCUUAUCUUGGUCAAAACAACACACUCCCUGUAAUCAUUUCUUCUACUUUGGAUGCAGGUCAAGAACAUAGUUUAGUAGAUUUGCUGGGAAAAUACAGAAGAGCAAUUGGAUGGACCAUGGCAGAUAUAAGGGGGAUAAGCCCAUCCAUCUGUAUGCAUAAAAUCCUAUUAGAGGAUUGUUCCAGCAAUUCGGUGGAACACCAGAGAAGGCUGAAUCCUAUUAUGAAAGAAGUGGUGAAGAAGGAAAUCAUCAAAUGGCUAGAUGCUGGAAUCAUAUACCCAAUAUCAGACAGUUCAUGGGUAAGCCCAGUUCAGUGUGUUCCAAAGAAAAGAGGGAUAAUAGUAAUGGCUAAUGAGAAUAAUGAACUUAUUCCUACAAGGACAGUGACUGGAUGAAGAGUGUGUAUGGAUUACAAGAAGCUUAACAAAGCCACAAGGAAAGACCAUUUCCCACUUCCAUUCAUAGAUCAGAUGUUGGACAGACUUACUGGAAAACAGUACUACUGUUUCUUAGAUGGGUAUUCAGGCUACAACCAGAUUGCUAUAGUUCCAGAGGAUCAAGAGAAGACUACAUUUACUUGUCCUUAUGGAACAUUUGCCUUCAGAAGAAUGCCAUUUGGGCUAUGCAAUGCUCCAGCAACUUUUCAGAUAUGCAUGAUGUCUAUAUUUUCUAAUAUGGUAGAGCAAACUUUGGAAGUUUUCAUGGAUGACUUCUCAGUUUUUGGAGAAACAUACAAUGAUUGUUUACACAACUUGGAAGAAGUUCUUAAAAGAUGUGAGAUGACCAACUUAGUACUCAAUUGGGAAAAGUGCCAUUUCAUGGUGCAAGAAGGAAUAGUGCUGGGUCACAAGAUAUCCAAGGAUGGUAUUGAGGUAAACAAAGCCAAGUUAGAGGUAAUAGAUAAACUGCCACCUCCAACUUCAGCAAAGGGUGUUAGGAGUUUUUUGGGUCAUGCUGGAUUCUACAGAAGAUUCAUUAAGAAUUUCUCCAAUGUAGCUAAACCUCUGUGUUCAUUGCUGGAGCAUAACAAACCAUUUCACUUUGAUACAGAGUGCCUUAAGGCAUUUGGAGAAUUAAAGAAAGCUCUUAUCAUUGCUCCAGUAGUUAUAUCUCCAUAGUGGACUUUACCAUUUGAAUUGAUGUGUGAUGCUAGUGAUCAUUCUGUGGGGGCAGUAUUAGGGCAAAGAAAGGAUAAGGUUUUUCAUUCCAUAUACUAUGCAAGCAAAACGUUCACUCCAACUCAGAUCAAUUACACAACUACAGAGAAAGAGUUGCUAGUAGUAGUUUUACUUUUGACAAAUUCAGAGCUUACCUGGUGGGUACCAAAGUAACUGUUUACACAAACCAUGCAGCCAUCAAAUAUUUAAUUUCAAAGAAGGAUGCCAAACCAAGAUUAAUCAGAUGGAUCUUAUUGCUUCAAGAAUUUGAUCUGGAAAUUAAAGAUAGAAAGGGGACUAAGAAUCAAGUGGCAGACCACUUGUCACGGUUGGAAUCAGACACUAGUACAUUGACAAGGAAGGACAUCACCGAAACUUUUUCUGAUGAACAGUUGUUGGUAAUACAGCAAGCACAGAUGCUGCAGCAGUCAGAAUCUCCAUGGUAUGCAGACUUUGCUAACUACUUAGUAAGUGGGUUGCUACCACCUGAGCUGAAGUUUUAAGAGAAAAAUAAAUUUCUUCAUGAUGUUAGAAGUUAUCAGUGGGAUGACUCACAUUUAUAUAAGCUAUGCUCAGAUCAAGUAAUAAGAAGAUGUGUUGCAGCAGAAGAAAUACCUCAUAUACUGGAGUCAUGUCAUGCUGCAGCAUAUGGAGGAUAUUUUGGUGGUCACAGAGCAACUGCCAAAGUUAUGCAAUCAGGUUAUUAUUGGCCCACUAUCUUUAAAGAUGCUUAUGAAUUUGUUAAAUGUUGUGAUAUGUGUCAAAGGACAGGGAACAUAACUAGCAGACAUGAGAUGCCUUUGACUAACAUAUUGGAAGUGGAAGUUUUUUAUGUUUGGGAAAUAGAUUUCAUGGGACCUUUUCCCCCAUCCUUUGGGAACUUAUAUAUCAUUGUUGCUGUAGAUUAUGUCUCCAAGUGGGUAGAAGCUGCAGCAUUACCUACCAAUGAUGCUAAAACAGUGGUGACUUUUCUUCAAAAAAAUGUUUUCUCUAGGUUUGGCACUCCUAGAGCAAUUAUUAGUGAUGAAGGCACACAUUUUUGCAACAAAAUCUUUGCUGCAGCAAUGAUGAAAUAUGGAGUCAGACACAAGAUAGCAACAGCAUAUCACCCACAAUCCAAUGGUCAGGCUGAAGUGUCCAACAGAGAAAUUAAAAAGAUCUUAGAAAAAGUGGUGAACCCAAAAAGGAAGGAUUGGUCUUUACAUUUGCAUGACUCUCUAUGGGCCUACAGAACAACAUACAAAACUCCACUCGACAUGUCUCCUUACCGAAUUGUUUAUGGCAAAGCAUGUCAUUUGCCACUAGAGCUAGAGUACAAAGCCCAUUGGGCAUUAAAGAAAUUAAAUUAGGAUAUGCAUGCUGCAGCAGGGCAAAGGAAACUUCAACUUUGUGAGCUUGAUGAAUUACGGCUGUUUUCAUAUGACAAUGCAAGAAUCUAUAAAGAGAGAACAAAACACUGGCACGACAAGCAUAUUCAACACAGGAAAUUCACCCCUGGUCAAUUAGUGUUACUCCACAAUACAAGACUAAGAUUAUUUCCAGGAAAGCUCAAGUCAAGAUGGUCUGGCCCGUUUAAGUUGUUAAAAUCUUACCUUCAUGGAGCUGUUGAUCUUCUAGAUGAACAAACAGGCCACGAGUUCAAGGUUAAUGGACACAGGGUUAAGCAUUACAUACAUCCAGCAGCAGAAUGUUCAAAGGAGGUGUUACUCCUUAAAGAACCUAGCUAUUGAACAAAGAAGGAAGGUCAUGCUGAAGGACCUUAAAUCAAGCGCUUCAUGGGAGGCAGCCCAUUGAGGAGAUAGCCACUUCAAACCAAGUUUGAUAGCCUUUGGUUUUGUAGACAGCUUUCUCUCUUUGCCAUCUUAUUUAAUUUCUGUUUUUCUAUGAUUAGCCCUUAUUUUCAUCCAUUUACAUUAUUGCAUUCUUUACUUUCACUUUAAUUUGCUAUAUCUAUUUCUUUUAAUAAAUUUUAGACUUAAUGUUAGUAAGUGUGAUAAUUGAAUUUCAUAUUGACAAGUGAGAGUGAAUGGUGGCAGAAUUCAGAGGUGAAUCACGUGUUAGAAGCUUUUAGUGGGGAGUCUGUAUCCGUUGUUAGAAUAAGCGAAUGGGUGCUGCAGCAGCUAAUUUUACCGUUACAGUAAAUUAAAAGCUGGAGCCUUUCACUUACCGUUGGAGAUAAAAUCGUGACAGAUGGAUGCAUGGACAUGGAUAGAAAAUUGAGGAAACCAAUCUAUGAAAUUAAAGCUUUAAUUUCAUUGGCCGAUAAUUUUGGGGAUAUGGACAUUUAAUUCAAAUAUUUUAUUCCCUCAAUUAUCUCUCGUUACCGUAUUUAUCUUCAAAUUAAAGUCCAUUAUAAAAAAGAAUCACUGUGCUUAGUGCUCUACGCCACUAUUCCCCAUCUCCUUCGCAAAGACAACUCUAAAAACUCUUAAACUCUUUUUCUCUUUUUAUUCUCAGGAACAGUAGCUUCAAUUUGUUAUUGCUACAGCAAUGCCGAGAUACAAGAAAAUAGUCAGUCGCCUCAAAGAUCUAUCACGAUUCCAGAGUUACCACGCUGAAGAAAAAUAUGAAGAAUUCAUAGAGCCACGUCGGAUUCUGGAAGAAAAAAGGGUUUCAAUUCCCAGACCAACUCACGGGAAUUGUGCAAACCAUUCAUAAUGCUAUAGCAAAGCGAGGAUGGUUAGAGUUUUGCAACCACCCUCGCGAUCCUGUGUUGCCUGUAGUCAAAGAAUUUUACGCCAAUUUGGUGUUCGUCUUGACGCUAGAGAUGAACAUGUAAAAAAUGAUGGUGCCUGUACGGCACGUACCAUUGAGAGAGUUGCUGGUGAGAGUGCUGGAACAACCACUGAACCAGCUGCUAUCACUGGAGCAAGACGAGCCAUUGGUUUAGAACAGACUAUCCAGGUACUCAGCAAUAGUAUAACUCAAUGUGUGGAAGCUCAACAGAGGGAAAAUGGUCGAUUUUGGAGCUAUCUACAGCACUUGGAUAACCAACUACACCAAUUUGAUCUGUACAUGAAACGCACUCACUGGAACUUCCCUGAUGCACUGCUCCAGCAGUUCCAUUUUGCCAUAAACACCACAGGUGCUCCAGCAGCAGCCAGUGAAGAAGCCACUCCUUCAGAUGAACCAGCAGAGGACGCUGCCACUGAGCUACAAGCAGCAGUCGACUCAGAAGAGGCUGAACCGUCUGAUCCACCUGAGGACGAAGGUGACAAGUCUGAGACUGAUAGCUCACCCUCAGAGGCAGAGGAUAACUCAGAGAAAGAAAGUGAGGAACCAACCAUCCCAAGCUAGCCCAAAACUAGAAAAAAGCAUAUUAUUCAAGAAGAAGAAGAGGAAGACCUUGAAGAGGAGCUGCCUAUUCCAGUCUUUAAGGGUAAGAGGAAGGAUAAGGGUAAAGCAAAAUUGGCAACCCCUCCAGCCUCUGAAGAUGAAAUGGAGCAAGUCGAUGCUGAGUUGGCUGCUGCAGCAGCCAGAGCUAUGCCUACACCUGAGCAAGCCUAGCAACUACUUGCGGUUAUUGCUGCCAUCACCGCUGAGGGCCAGGCAGCUGAUGCAUUGACUCAAAAGCCUCCACAGCAAACUCCUGACCAGCCUAUCCGCACCAGUCCAAGACAAUCCAGCAAAUGAAAAGGCAGUACGUCUACAGGUACUGCUACAACAACCCCAGCCACCACUCCUCUCACCAGCCCCGCAGCGAAAAAGACAAAGACAUUGCCAGCCACUUCCCCAAAAGCUUCACCAAAGGAUAAGCUGCGCAGUGCGUCCAAGAAGCGCUGAUAGCAUCCUGUCAUGUGCUGCAGUCCCCACCACAGGGGAGUACUCUUUCCUUACUAGUGCAUUAAAAAAAAAAAAUUCAAUUUGUGUGUCAUUGUUAUGUUUGCUUGUGAGGACACAGCAACUCUCAAGUUUGGGGCGGGUUGUGUUCCCAAAUGCAUAUGUUUAUGUUUGUAUGCAUGUGUUUAUGUUUGUGUGGUGUGGAGCUCUAUUAUCUAAUAUUUGUGUAUGGAUUUGAAAGCCUAAUGAAGAUAAAUUGAGUGCUAUUCAAUAUAUAUAUGCCAAGUAGAGAUAGUUAUAGAUGAAAGUGAAAUUCUGUCCCGACACUUAGACUUUGGUUGAAUUGUACGAGACUGUUAGAGCAAAGCCAAAAGAAGAGAAAAGAUCUCAAGUUUGGGGGGGGGGGGUAGAAGCAAGUUUGAAUAACUGUGAUAUCUAUGGAAUACAAUUUGUUCCAAUGACUCAAGUUGCUGAGUAACCAUAUCUGAGUAUGUACCCCAUAUGCAGACUUGUGUUCAAAGGUAGCGAGAGUUAUGAGCAAUGCUGCACCAUAUAUAUAUAUAUAUAUAUAUAAAGAAAUCAUCUGUCUAAGGCAUUGAGUAGUUAGGUCUGUUCAUGAGCCCCAUGUUCAGCCUUGAGUAAAAGAUACUUCUAGAUAAGAUUACCUUACAAUUACUGGUGCAGCAACUCUAAUCUGGGCAUGGUUUGAUUAAUUGGGUGUCAUCAUUACAAUUGAUUGACAUUCACAUGAAAGAUAAAUGUUACAGUGAGGAGGUUAAAUAUUUCCUAGUUUGUCAAUCCUAAAAUAAUCACAGUUGAGUAUGUGAAAGUUAUGAUUACCCCAUUUAUGAAUGAAGUGUUCUCACUGUUGAAAUUCAUGCAAUCCCUUGGUGAUGCUAUAGCAUAUCUAGAAUUCAACCGAAAGAGCACACACACACACUAUGGACAGAAAGAAGCUUAAGUCUAGGACUAAUUUACUAUGGUCAUCUUGCUUGAUUGAGAAUAUGAUCUAAAGGUGGAAGAAUCCUUGCAAAGUUGAUAAAAGAGUUAAAUUUGUGUAAAGUGUUAGUAUGUGUCAUUACUUGAGGACAAGUAAUAGUUUAAGUUUGGGGGUGUGAUAACUCUAGGAAAUGAGAGUUAUUACAUCAAUUCUAGACUUGAAUCAAGGUCACUUAGAGAACAAAUAAGGUGUUUUUAUUACAUUUUGGGUACCUUUUGCAUAAACAUUCAUUUUAGUUGAGUUUAAUAAGUUUUGCUUGAAUCAUAGUAAUUUGUGCUAAAAACAGGUUUUAAAUUGUAGGUUUUAAAUUCGUGAGAGGAUGUUGAGGCAUUAGAAGAGCAAGAGGAGGAAGGAAGUUGGCCACAAAAGAAGUAAAGCACAAUCAGGAAUAAAACAGUGUUGUAGCAGCUGUUAGAGCAACCAGUGCUGUAGCAAUCUGGGAGCAAUGCGGGAGAAAACUUAGGCGCGAGUCAGCCACAAAAUCGUGAUCUGCAUGUUUCCUAAUUCAAGCAUAUGCACGCUCAUGGGCUUUGGUUUAACCUAAUUUACAAUAUAAAAAGGAGGCGUGCACCACAUAGAAAGGCGGCAAGGAAUUAUCAUAAAAAAUAAUUACGAAGGCAAGAAGAAGAAGAUCAAGAUUAAAGAGUGUUAUUCGGAAACAAAAGGAGAGAGUCGUGCAGAAUUAAUAGUUUCAGUUAAGAUAGAGCAGCAAAAGGGCAUGUCUUAGCGGACAUUAUUAGAGUAUUACUUGUUCUUAAGUCGAGUUUCCUGGAUUAGGUUAUCUUGAAUCCCAUAAGGGCAAUACUUGAAGUUAAGAUUUGUGACACUUUAGACAUAGGUGUUCACCUUGUAGGGUAGAGAGAUUAAAGGUUAUAAUGCCAUACCAUAAAUAUAUGAGCAACUGGUCAUUGUUAGUAGAUUUAAAGGUAUGAGAUUUCCAACAUGCGAUAGCUGCGGAUGCAGAUUUAUUCUACCCAUUGCUGCAGCACUUAUUGAAACAACUGGUGCUAAUUUGGUAAACAACAGUCACCCCAUUAGGAGAGUUUGAUCAUUCAACUACUAUAUUCUCAAUUGAAUCUUAGACACAUUUAACUUAGUUUACUUCAUUACAGUAUUGUUUUAUUUUCAUCUCUCAUAAUUAUUAGUUACAGUAGAAUUAUUCGAUAAUUGUUUAUUUCGGUCUUUAAUUGAUUUGCACUAUUGUGAUUGCUUUAGCAUUUUGAGUAACAUCAAUCCCCGUGGAGACGAUCUUGAAUAGUCAUCACUUUAUUACUUGUUGUGUAUACUUGCACAUUGGCAUUGAUAAUAAUUGCUUACAGAAAUUAACCAACAAUAUUCUUGGUGGUUGAUUUUGUUUUUUUAUACUAGCUUAUGAGAUCCUAUGCUUUAAAAUUCUUGUCUCUCGAAUGUUGAUUGAUUUAAAUUCUUGAGGUAUGCUUGCUUAAGAUUAUUUUUGGAUGAGUUGAGAUGAGAAUUGAGUGGAGAUUUGGGAUUAGUCUUGAGUUAUAUGCUUGAGGACAAGCAUUAUCUUGGUGUGGGGGAAUUUGUUAGAGUACAAUUUAUGCACUAGUUUUGCAUUGUUUACCUCCUUUAAUAUCGAUGUUUUGCACUUAAUAAUAGUGAUUUACUUGUGUUUUAUUUUUGUAGGUGCAAUUCGAUUGAUUGGUGCUAAAAUUGAGCUACAAGAUGAUGUUAGAGGAUGAUUGUUUUCCUGGAGAAAUUAUGAGCUUCAGAAGAACUUUGUUGAUAAGGCGUGGGCGCGUGCUGUCAACUAAGGACCUGCAGUUUUUAUUUUAACGUGUUUUGUCUCUUUGUUUAUUUUUGUAAUUUUGAAUUUAAUAUUUAGAUAAUAUUUUAGAUAUUAGUAUUUUAUUUUUGGAAAAACUCUAUAAGAGAAAGGAGACGUGAAAAACAAAGGAGGAUGAGAUUUUUAAAAAAAGAAAAAGAAACCCUAGAUCUAAAUUUUUCUCUUCUCUCUAUGAAGAACUAACCUAUUAUUCUGGUUGAAGGUUAAUAAAGCUUUGAUUCGUCAUUACUGGGAGAUCUUUCUUAUGCUUUAAUUGUUUUAUUACUUUUUGGGUAUUUGUUUAUUCUCUAAAUUAUGGUUAUGAUUAUGUUUGUUAAUUAGAUAAUUGGCCACUAUUUAAUUAUCAACUUAAUCUAUUGUCAAUUAAAAGAUUCAUCGUAUGAAGAUUUUAAUGUUUGUGACAAAUAGCAUAGCAAUGCGUUGUGUUAUGAGAAUAAACAAUCUAAUUUAAAUGAACCAUCGUAUGCGUUUGUUGAUUAGGAUUUGGGUCUCUUUGGUUUUUCAGGUUGUCAAUUGAUUAAACCCUAUGAUCGUAUCUAGGGUUGUCUAUUGAUUAGGGAAAUAACCAAUGGUCGUACCUUGGUUAUCGACUAGUUAAUGAGAGAUUAACUAUUAGAGGGUCUCAGUAGCUAUAAUCGGUCUAUUCAUAAGUAGUAAUGAUUUAUAUUUGAAUCAAUGAUCAGUAGUCGAAUCAAGCUGAGUUAAUUCCUUCAACUAGAGCUUUUCUCAAUUUGAAUUACACAUUUAAUUUGCAUUCUUGUUAUUUUAAUUUGAUUUUUAUUAUUGUCAAAAAUCCCCCCAUUUUGUAUUUUACAUUUUAAAAGGAUUCAAAUAAUUACCGAUCUCUGUGGACACGACCCUGCUCAAUCACUAUACACAAUUUAUUUAGAGUAGGUAUUUAGUUUUGCUGGCUUCGACAACCAUUAAUAUUAAAAAAUAAAUUUAUAUUUAUCAAGUAUAAAAAAUAAAUAGACAAACAAAAAUAAUAUGUUACCUAAAAUAAUGACAAUAUCAAUAUUUAACACUCUAUAAUUUAGUGAUGUGUUGUCCAACUGCCAUACAUUGGUCCCAAACAGAGCCUUAAAUAUCAAAGUCCAAAGUUAUUGUGAUGAUGACUUAUAAUCGCCAAACUUGACAUACGGGUAAUCAUGCAUUAUAAGGUGCUGAUUUCUUACUAUCAGAACCUUAUUUGUCAUCUAUAAAUAAAUAAAUGAUGUGACUUCACGGUUGGCGGGGUCCUUUGUAUCUCCUUUUGCAUCUACUUUUGUUGUUAACAUUACUUUCAAAAGCAGCUCGUUAUGUAUGCAACAUUUCAAAAUUAAUCUAAAAAAAACAAAAAUUAGUUCAGCUGACUAAAUUUGAAAGCAUGGAUUUGCUGUCGAUUAAAAACCGUUUUGUAGGGAAAAUUUUUGGAUUGCAAUUCUCAUAUAAUACAUAGAAUUAUCAUAAUUUAUAAAUUUUAUUUUCGCUUUUCUGUGGUAGUAAGUCAGACUCCUUAGUGACAAUUUAAUUUGAAAAAAUAAAAUCAUAAAUAAGAAUUAUUCGAUAAGAAUUAAAAUAAUUGAUAAAUAUUUGAGACGUGCAAUUUUGGAAGAUUCGAUUUCUAAUAGGAGGGGAAUUUAAAUUUUACAGCCUUUGGUGAGGAAUCCAAAAUGCACAAUUUGAUGAAAAUUAAAUUUCAAUAGAAAUUGAAUUCCCAUAUAUUAGUGAAAACCAAACAACAGAAAAGUGAAAUGAAUUUGAAUUUAUUUCCUUCCUCUCUUCUCCCUCCAACUAAAUACCAUUGAAAUCCAAAGGUAUGGGAUUUGUUUCGGAGUUUAAGAUUGAAAUUAAUCCCAAUUGUUGAUUUGGGACUAGAUAAGAAUUUAUCUUGGAACUCCAAUUCUCCCAAUUAUUUUAGUUGACAAUAUGUUUAACAUUAUUUUUUUAACAUUAUUAAUUGCAUAUUAUUUAAUUGUCAGUAUAUAAUAUUCUUUAAUUUUCUAAUUUAUAGGAUUAGACGCAAAAUUGAUUAUGGCUUUUGAAAUUUAAGUGUUAUGUCAAUUGAAUAGAAAACAUGGAGUAAAAAUUUUGGAUGCUUUUGUUGAUUAUCAAUUUAUGCAUGAAUUUUUGUACAUUUACUUUGGUUUAUUAUUAUUACUUUUAAACAUUUUUAUUAGUUUGGUUUAGGGUCAGUUUGGUAAUCCUGUAGCUUUUACAAUAAUUACAAUUAGCUAUGCUGUAGAAAUUGAUCAAUCGUGAGGAGAAUCAGCUGAACAUUUAGUAAAAUUUAUUUUUAAAAGUACUUUUAGUUUUAAAAACAGUCGUAUGUAUUUCUUAAAUCUUAUUGUUAAACUGGUGCAAGAAUAUAAAUGAUGAAUUGGACAUAAUGCGAAAUAAAAUUUAUUUACAAACAUGUAUAUAAAAUAUUUUUAUUAUGUACAUAUAAUUAUUGAUAACUAAAAUAAAUAUUUUAUAUUAUUAAAUUUUAUUCUCUAUUUUGUUAUCUCAAUAUAAUUGGUAAUAAUAAUAAUCUUUUUAAAGUUAAUGAUUUUAUUUCUUAAUUAAUAAAGAUAAUUUUGGAUUUUUAUUAUAUAAUGAGAAUAUAUAUAUAGAAUUGGAUUAAGUAUAGAAGUGAUUCUCAAAACCAGAUUUUGAAAAACUAUUCAUUCCCUACUUUUCAAAAUCUAAUGUAUGAUGAAAUGAUUUUGCCAAAACUAAUUACUAAAAAAAUUUAUAAAACACUAAGAAUUAACUUUUACUUUUUAAAAUCACUUUUAAGCUUCCCAAAAACAAUCCUAAGGGCCUUUAUUUGGGUGGUGUUGGAACUUGUAACUUUUGGAUCUUUUAGCUUUUAUUGGUUUGACACAACUGUUACACUAAAAAUUAAAUGCAUCUUAAACCCCAAACUUCUUCUUCUUCUUUUUUGAUUGCACAAAAUUAAAAACAAUAGUGAACACAUUCUUUAAUAAACAAUAAGUAAUAACUAAAAUUGCGUUAAAGAAUUUAGUUGAUAUAUAAAUUGAUUUCAAUGUUGUAUAUGCUAAAUUUCUUAAAAGUUUUCUUUCACAAUCUGCUGCAUAGUUUUAUUAGUAUUUUGAAUAAAUAAAAAUAAUUGAUUUAUAUUUUUUUAAAGAAACUUAUUAGGUUCAUGUAAAGAUGUUUUUUUUUUUAUUUUAAAAAAGUGUACAAAGUAAAACUUAAUUUUUUAAAUUUAUUAGAUGAGUGCAUAUAAUAUUUGAGUGUUCAUAGUAAUUUUUAAAGCAUAGAUAGUCGGGCCCUAAUAUUUUUAAUAUACGGAAAUUUUGCUAAUAUGUUAAUGAGAAUUAAAAUGAUAAUUAAGGGAGGCAUUCGAGACAGUCAGGAUAGUUAGGAUGGGACAUCAUUGUGAGCGGUUUGAGAUUGGUCCUAAUUUUGAUCACAAAUAUAUAAACUGGAUGAGUGUAUCCAUACUUACAUUCCAUUUGAUAAUUAAGAUAAAUGUGGAAUUGUCAAAUCCCAAAUCAUCCCAGACCAUUGCCACCAAAGGUACUCUCACUAAUAAUAUCUAAAGAAUAAUCUACAUCUAUUUCAUACUUUUUUUUUAACGGAAAGAGCCCUCAUGUGGCUUGAAAUGUUAUCCUAAAUAAUAUUCAGAAUAUCAUACCAUGAUUGGGUUUGUGACAAACAAAUAUUACAUAGUUGGAAUACGUAGUUACUAGUGUCCCAAUUUAUGCAGUAUCUAUCAUUUAGUGCACAUAUAAAGUAUUAAUCAGCUUAAUUAAUUUAUAAAAUUUAAAUCUAAUUAAUAAGUGACACAUAAAUGCCAAGUGCAAUAUAUGCAAAUCAUGUUUGUCGAUCAUUACAAAACUGGCUCUUGAAAACAAGCAAGAAAGCUUAAUUAAGAACUUAAAACAAAAAGAAUUAGAUCGAGAACAGUCAAGCCUUAUUUUUUCAAGGAUGGAGCUUAUAAAUCUUCAAGUACCAACAUAUGCUUGCCCCAGUUGUUGUUAUUAAAAUUUUAAUAUAUAUAUACACACACACACACACACACACACACAUAAAAAAGUAUGACAUAGCAAAAAUUUGAUGGUACAUAUGUCGGAAUAUACUAGUUCAUGGAUGCAUUUGAUUAUUGUUUCCAUAAAUUUGAACCAAGAAGGAUGACUCGAUAAAAAUUGAUUUUACGGUAUGGUUGAUUUCAAUCUCAUGCACUCAUUUCUUAAGAUAAUCAAAUUUUCUCUGGCAUCUUUUGCAACUGUGGAAAUAUCAAUUAUGAUCAAUCAAAAGGAUUUCAAAAACUUUCAACGAGACAUAUUUAUAAUACAAUAUUGUGAAAAUUACACCAAAAAUUUUAUUUAUUAUAUAUUAUUAUCCAACCAGCACACAAAAAUGAAUUCGUACAAAUCUAAAAUACUUAGCAAUUUUCAAAUAGAAUUUACCAUGUACUACAAGAAAAUAGGGUAUAUGUGACCCCUAAUGUGAAAAUAGGGUAUAUGUGACCCCUAAUAGAAUUUGUUGAACCUAGACCAGACUUAAUAUCCAAUCAAGAAUCUCCAGGAUCUAGCUGAACUCUCUAAUCAAGAUCUAAAGAAUGGUUAAUCAAUUCACAGAAAAGAAUCACCCAGAAACAGUAUGCAAAGAACAACAAAUAUAAGUGGUUCGGCUGAAAGAGCCUACAUCCACUGAAGAACAGACCAACAGCUUUUCACCAUUAACAAAGAACAAGUUACAAGUUUAGAGAUGAAGUUACAAGCAAUACAUUCCCUGAUUUUCCAGUCCUUAAGACUACUUAUACUAGCUUAAAGGCCCUCACAAAGACCCCCUGUCAACCAGCUGUAAUCUAGGUUUGUUAGCUAACAAACCCAGAAUUCUCCCGCCUAUUGUAACUGACUUUAACAGCUUCCAGGACACGUGUUGAAUUCUUACAAACAGCAAGCCCCAAAACGACAUUCUUUCAUGCCGUUCAGAGUAAGUGGAAGCACGUGACAUUUACGUGCUUCACUUAAAGCUUUGGGUGACGACCAAAGUUUGUCAUACAGGCUUGUAUCCUUUACAGCUGACAUGUCGUAUACCAACAUGACCACAAACUGACAUGACGGUUGAUCUUCUGGAAAUCAGUUUAAAGCUCAUACUUUAACAUUCUCCACCUUGAGCUUGAAACUCUCAUGACCUGCUCAUCUUCUCUCCCACCAUCUGUAUUUUAAUUAUCACAGAUGCCAGCCAAAUCCAAACAGAAUUUGAAUUUAGCCCCUGAAAUAGCUUUAGUUAACAUAUCUGCAACAUUGUCAUCUGUAUGGAUUUUCUGAAGCAUCACAGUUGCUUUUGAGACUUCCAGCCUGAUGAAGUGCACCUUAAUGUCAAUGUGUUUGGUUCUUUUAUGGUGAGUUUGAUUCUUACUUAGACAUAUAGCACUUUGGCUAUCACAAUGUAUCACCACAGACCUCUGAUUGACUCCAAGCUCCUUCAACAUACCCUUCAGCCAUAUUGCCUCUUUUAUGGCUUCAGCAUCUUUUAUGGCUUCAGCAGCAGCUGUGUACUUUGCUUCAGUUGUGGACAAAGCCACAACACUUUGUAGUUGUGAUUUCCAGUUUAUUGUGCAGUUGUUGAAUGUGAACAGAUACCCAGUUAGAGACCUUCUUCUAUCCAAGUCUCCUGCAUAAUCAGCAUCCACAUAUCCUACAAUUAAACUGUCAUCUCUUCUCUGUCCCCCAUAUAUCAGACCAUGCCCAGAAGUUCCCCUUAGAUACCUGAGUAUCCACUUUACAGCCUUCCAAUGUUCUUUUUCAGGAUUGGACAUAUACCUACUAACCACACUGACUGCAUGUGCUAUGUCAGGUCUGGUGAGUACCAUAGCAUACAUUAAGCAGCCUACAGAACUUGCAUAAGGAAUUUUCAUCAUUUUAGACUUGUCAGCAUUAGCUUUUGGGCACUGCUGCUCUGAUAAUCUGAAGUGGGCUGGUAAUGGUGUUUGCACUGGUUUGGCAGUAGCCAUGUCAAACUUAUCAAGUACUCUCCUGAUGUAUUCCUCAUGUGUAAGAAACAAGGUGCCAGAUUUCCAAUCUCUGAUUAGUUGCAUUCCAAGUAUUUUCUUAGUUGGUCCCAGAUCCUUCAUCUCAAAUUCACCUUUGAGUUGUUGUUUCAGAACUUUAUUUGUUCCAUGCUCUUACUAGCAAUAAGCAUGUCAUCCACAUAUAGAAUCAGAUAAACCAUUUCCCCUGAUAUCUCUUUGUAAUAAACACAGCAAUCUAGAUUACAUAUUUGAAAACAAAUUUUCAUCAUAAAGCUGUCAAACCUGAGAUACCAUUGUCUUGGAGACUGCUUGAGGCCAUAAAGUGAUUUCUUCAGAAGGCAUACCCAAUCACCAUUUGACUAGUCUUCAAAGCCUUCAGGUUGAGACAUUAUUAUUUGUUCUUCAAGCUCACCAUGUAAAAAUGCAGUCUUAACAUCCAUCUGUUCAAGAUGCAUGCUAUGAACUGCAACCAGUGCUAGGAUCAUUCUUAUUGAGGUAUGCCUAACUACAGGUGAGUAGACUUCUGUAAAAUCUAUCCCUUCCUUCUGUGUGUAGCCUUUGGCAACCAGCCUAGCCUUAUAUCUCAUGGAUUCAAUCCCUGGUAUACCCUGCUCGACCUUGUAAACCCAUUUGCAGCCUACUACCCUUUUGUUUUCUGGUCUUUUUACAAGCUCCCAAGAGUUAUUCUUGUGUAAUGACUCCAUUUCAUCCUUCAUAGCUUUUAUCCACUUGUCUGCAUCUUUUCCUGAAACAGCUUCUCUGAAGGUUUUAGGUUCAUCAUUGUCUAGUUCAUGGGCUGCUGUUAGAGCAUAUGCUAUCAAAUCUGGAUAUGCAAACCUCUUAGGUGUUUUGAUAAUUCUCCUUUGUCUGUCUCUUGCCAGCUGAUAGUCUUGAAUAUCUGUAUAAGUUCCAGAAGUUUCACUAAUAUCUUUAGUUUCUUCUCUCUCCAUGUCUUCAGCUUCAUCAUGGUAGUUCAGAGUUGAUUUACCUUUCAACUCCAUCUUCAAAUGUUGUCCCUGUGAGUCCACUCCUCCUUCUGGUUUAGCAGGAUCUUUUUUAUGUCUUUUCAUCAGCAUCUCUGACUCAUUGAAGACUACAUCUCGGCUAACUAUACACUUUGGUGGCCUCAUUUCAGUGCACCAGAGCUUAUAACCUUUGACACCUUCAGGAUACCCUAGGAAUACACAUUUCAGUGCUCUUGGCUCCAGCUUCCCUUGCUUGACAUGUGCAUAAUCUGGACAACUAAAAAUCUUUAGAUUUGUAUAAUUUGUUGUUCUUCCUGACCACAUCUCUACUGGUGUCUUGAAGUUUAAGGCACUGGAUGGGCUUCUAUUCACUAGAUAAUAUGUUGUCAUCAAAGUUUCAGCCCACAAUGUUUGAGGAAGCUUUGAAUGAAUCAGUAAACAUAUGACCUUAUCCAUCAAAGUCUUGUUCAUUCUUUCUGCUAACCCAUUUUGCUGUGGGGUGUAAUUCACUGUUUUGUGUCUUGCUAUGCCAUUGAGUUUAUAGAAAUCAUCAAACUGUUGAUUGCAGAAUUCAAGCCCAUUAUCAGUCCUCAGUCUCUUAAUCUUCCUACUACUCUGAGUUUCUACCAAUGCUUUCCAUUGUUUAAACCUCUCAAAGACUUCAUCCUUGCCUUUCAAGACAUAAACCCAUACCAUUCUCGAGUAAUCAUCUAUAAAGAAGAGAAAGUAUUUUGCUCCACCUAGAGAGACAGUAUGUGAUGGCCCCUACAGAUCUGAAUGGAUGUAAUCUAGGGUCCCUUUUGUGUUAUGCACUGCAGUUUUGAAACUAGUUCUUGAGGAUUUGCCUAGGACACAUACCUCACAGAACUCCAGAGACCCCAACUUAUCAUCCCCUAAGACUCCCUGUUUUUCUAAAAUUUUUAGCCCCUUCUCACUCAUAUGUCAUAACCUUAGAUGCCAUAUGAGAGUUUUAUCCAAACCCAGACUUGCUGAAAUACUGACAUCUCCAGUUACAGUAGUGCCUUGAAGCACAUAUAAGCCAUUUUGCUUAUUCCCUUUCAUUAUCACUAUAGACCCUCUAACAACCUUCAUUACUCCAGAUUCAACUUUAAUGGAGCAUCCAACCUGAUCUAGAGUGCCUAGAGAUAUUAAAUUCCUCUUUAAAUCAGGAAUAUGCCUUACCUCUCUUAGCUCCCUAAUCAUCCCAUCAAACAUCUUAAAUCUAAUGGUUCCUAACCCAACAACCUUACACAUUGUGUUAUUCCCCAUUAGAACCUCACCUCCAUUAAAAGAAUUAUAAGUAGUAAAAAGAUUUUGAUCAGGGCACAUGUGAUAUGAACAUCCAGAAUCAUGAAUCCACUUACUGUUUGUCUGAGUUUCAGAAGCCAAAAGUACACCAGCUGAGUCAUAGCCCUCAUCCUCGGAUGCAACAGCAGCAUCACCAUUAUUUCCAUGCCCUUCCUUACCCUUGUUCUUUCUGUCUGGACAGUCCCUCUUGAAAUUCCCUUCUUUAUGGUAGUGAAAGCAUUUCAUAUUUUUAUUCUUGGACUUUGACUUGUCUCUUUUCUUCCCUUUGUUGUAUUCUCUCUUUUCAGGUCUUCAUCUUGCCAUCAGACCUUCCCCAGCUUUUGUUUCUGACCUCUUUGUGACUUCUUUAUAACUGAGAGAAUCCUUUACAUCAGCCAUCGAUAUUGACUGCCUUCCAUAGAGCAGUGUAUCUACAAAGUGUUCAUAGGAUGGUGGGAGAGAUGAUAAUAAGAUUAUUGCCUUGUCUUCAUCCUCUAGACUCACAUUUAUAUCUUCAAGAUCCAGGAUGAUCCUGUUAAAGCUAUCAAUGUGAGUUGCCAAAGAACUUCCUUCCUCCAUUUGCAAAGUAUAUGGCCUCUUUUUGGUACAAAGUCUUUUGGUUAGAGACUUCUUGGUAUAUAGGUCUUCAAGCUUUUUCCAGAGGCCUGCAGCAGUAGUUUGAUCUCCCACUUCCCUAAGAACUCCAUCUCCCAGACUCAAGAUUAGAGUGUUAUGAUCUUUAUCCAAAGCAUCUAGCAUUUCUUCAUCAAAAAGCUUGCUGGGUUUCUUUUCAGAUCUUGGAUCACCCAAAGUAUCCUCCAGCCCCUGAUGAACCAACAGAGCUCUCAUCUUGAGCCGCCAUAGAUGGAAGUCAUUUUCUCCAGUGAAUUUUUCUACCUCAAACUUAGAGGUUCUCAUUUCUUGGAUCAAAGAUCAGAGAUAAGGCUCUGAUACCAAUUUGUUGAACCUAGACCAGACUUAAUAUCCAAUCAAGAAUCUCCAGGAUCUAGUUGAACUCUCUAAUCAAGAUCUAAAGAAUGGUUAAUCAAUUCACAGAAAAAAAUCACCCAGAAAUAGUAUGCAAAGAACAACAAAUAUAAGUGGUUCGGCUGAAAGAGCCUACAUCCACUGAAGAACAGAGCAACAGCUUUUCACCAUUAACAAAGAACAAGUUACAAGUUUAGAGACGAAGUUACAAGCAAUACAUUCCCUGAUUUUCCAGUCCUUAAGACUACUUAUACUAGCUUAAAGGCCCUCACAAAGACCCCCUGUCAACCAGCUGUAAUCUAGGUUUGUUAGCUAACAAACCCAGAAUUCUCCUGCCUAUUGUAACUGACUUUAACAGCUUCCAGGACACGUGUUGAAUUCUUACAAACAGCAAGCCCCAAAACGACAUUCUUUCAUGCCGUUCAGAGUAAGUGGAAGCACGUGACAUUUACGUGCUUCACUUAAAGCUUUGGCUGACGACCAAAGUUUAUCAUACAGGCUUGUAUCCUUUACAGCUGACAUGUCGUAUACCAACAUGACCACAAACUAACAUGACGGUUGAUCUUCUGGAAAUCAGUUGAAAGCUCAUACUUUAACAUAUAUCACUAACUUCUAACUUUGUAACCCCGAGUUGCUUUUGUUACCCUUUAUGUGACUGCCACACUGCUGUCACAUAUGUUAUUAACCACGUGACGGUAAAGAGCCGUUCGGUAUACUACUAUUUUACAAUUUUAAAUUUAUUUCCAGUUAGAAAACUAUUCGCUGGACUCCGUGUUACAUAUGCCACCAUCGUAAACCUAACUGGUUGCCGGCGAACGGCGUAAAACACCGGCCAUCUUCUUCUUCAUCGUAUUCUCCCUUCAUCUUUUGUUCGUAUUAUAGCCGUUAUUGUCAAUUUUUGUCCCGCCAGCAAUAUUUUUUUAUUCCUACAAGUUGAAGCACCCGUGCUCUUGUUCCAUUGAUGAGUUUGCUCACUCAAAUUAAUUUUGUUCUGUAGAAUUUACAAAGUUCAAAUGGAUUCAUUUGAAUUUAGCUUUAAUUAUGUAUGUCAAUUAUGUAUUUAGAUUAUGAAUUUAGCCGUUAUUGUCAAUUAUGUAUUUAGAUUUACUUUAAUUUUAUGCUUAAAGCUUCUACAUUGCUGAUUCUAUAUUAAUAAUGUUAUGUUCUAUUUUCAGAAAUUAUAAUACAAAAGUUUUUACAAUGUUGUGCAUCUACAAACUGAAUUGACUUGUAGAAUAAGAGCUUGGAGUAGUGUUAUGUUCUUGAAUAAAUGAAUGUUCAUAUUGUGUAAGAGCAUGUAGAUGUAAAGCAUCAUUACCAUAUCUACAAAGUGCUUUCAUUCUGUUCAGAUGCUCUUCUUGAACUUUGAAAGGUGCCUCGUUCAAGUCCUAGCUAUAACUACUAGUUUUGAUUAAUUAAGUUCCUGUACUAGCUGAAACAGAUUUAUUUAAUUAAUUAAUUGUGUAUGUACUAAUUAUAUUGAAAGUAUAUGAAUUUUUUUUUUAAAACAUGAAUGACUUCUAAAUGACUUAAAAACCUAAAGGAUGUGUGAAAUAAUGCUCAUUUCACUUGAAUGAACCCAUUAAUACUUUUAUGUCUAUGAUUGUCAAUAUUGGCUUAAGCAUUUCAGCUAAGUGGUUUACCUAACAGAGAAAAAAAUUUAAUAGAAAACUUCAGAGUUCUAACAGAAAUAUAGUUCACUAUGCAGAUAUAGUUAUUUUACGGUAUACAAAUCAAGUUGUCCUAAUCUCAAUGUCCUAUGACCGAUUUUAUUUUAUAUAGUCAUUAAUUUUUGCCAUGGUUUUUUGUGUUUAUGAGUAUGAAAUAGUGGGAUUUGGUGUACCUUAGCAUCUUUUGAAAAUUCUCUUUAUGUGUGGCCAACAGAAUAUAAUCAAGUUUCUUAAUCGUGUAUAUUAGUUUUGGGUAUGAAUGUUCCUAUUCUAGUUCUAGGCAAAGCUUCUUCAUUUUGGUCUUCAGAUUUCCAGUAGGUUAAGUUAAUCAACUAUCACAACUGACUAGCUAGUUAUUGUCUGCCUUGGCGCCAUUACCCAGGCCAUUAUAUUGCAUAGCAUAAGGAAUAGUGAUUAGGUGAUUAUUAGUGAUUUGUUGAGCUUAUUAUUGACCAAACAAACAUAUUCGCCUUUGCCCACAACUUAGUUUGAUUAGUUAUUAGACCUUAAAGAGCCUUGAUCUAUUCAUUGGCUUUAUUAUUUUUAUUUGGUUUUUCUUUCAACAAUAUUGUUGAUUUCUUAUAAAAAUAUUCAUUGGUUUUUAAACACCUAAUCAUUGGCUAUAUGAAGCUAAUUAAAACUGAGGCUUUGGAUCAAUUUCUUCUAACAGGAUACAAAUGAGCAUAACCUAUCUCCUCUAAGUAAAUUUUUUUAAUAUCCUUGAUUUGUAAGGAUCUGGAGGCCUGAAAUCCUCUAGAUUUUUUUUAACACUGUCAAUGUUCUUUUUAUUCUGAAAAGGAAAUAAAAGGUUUUAUCUUUCAUACCCUAAUAGUAAGCUGACCUUGUCUUACCCGAGGAUUUGCAAGAUUCAUAGUGCCCCCCCCCCCCCCCCCCCAAAAAAAAAAAAAACACAAAUAGGAAGAUUUUGCAAGAUUCACCACCAGGUUUUUUUUCAUUUAUUAAUUGUGUGUACGUACUAGUUAUAUGUUGAAAGAAUAGGAAGAAGUAUUUCAACAUGAAUGAAUGACUUAAAACUUAUUGCUCAGUAAACAUAAUCUGCAUCAGUGCGAAAAUGUAUUUAUCGGUUGUAUUUUUUAUGGUUUUGCUUAAGAAAUGAUAUGUGAAAUAAUGCUACAUUGUAUCAGGAAUAAAUUGAAGAGAUUUAUGAUAUUUAUGUGUUAUUCAAAUUUCAGAUUCAAUUUUAAAUACGUGCAUUGAAAGCUUAGACUUGUUUAAGAAAUUAUUAAUAGACACAUGUUUUAUUAGUGUCAUCUUUGGAUGAUAGUGAGGUUCAUAUGUCUAUUAAUAAUUCUUGAAUUGUCCAGGCUUGGGCAGUUUGGGAAUGCAUAGUUCUCUCUGGUAGCUAGUAGCUGAAGUUUUUUUCGCAAGUAAAAAUGGGUUUUUCGGUAGCUGCUCCUCGUGUUCUCUGGGUACGUACUAGGUGAAUGGGUGUCAUGUGUUGUUUUGGCAUAACGCAUAAACACUUAUAUAGCUAUGUUGUGUGCUUCGAGAAUUAUAGGGAGAUGGUGCCGAAAUUUUUAUAAACGUAGAAGAAAACUUUAGGUACUUGAGAUUGAAGAAACUUAUGCAUUCUUGAGUGGGAUAUGUAGGAUUACUUACCUUUUGUAAAUAUGAAGGGAAUGUUGGAUAUAUUGAGGAUAGUGUAGGAGCUGAGUUGGAUGAAUGUAAUUGGUCAUGAUUUUGCUGAGCUGACCUUGGUUUUGAGCUUGUAAUUUUGUUUGUAAAUGGAGUGCUAUCUCCAAUGUUGGUUUAUAAAAAUGUUUCAGGACUUGCUGACCUAAUUUUUUUUUUCCUAGGUUACAGGCUUUAUAUAUCUGUAAUUGAUAGCCAAGUGAAGUUCUCAGCACUUGGCGAGGAUAUUUCUUUACAGAAGGUAUUGGAAACUGUUUUUUACAUUAAUUAUUGUUGUAUAUAUACUUUGAUUUUCACAUCUUUUUCUCUGAUUCUUGUGGCUUUGCUUGCUUUCAUAUAUGUAAAUUCUAAUGAAAUUAACCAUAAAAUUGUAAAAUGAUCUUUUUAUUAUAUUGCAAAACCGUGCACACACGAAAAUAUCUUGUUUAGUAGUAGAAAUGAAGAACUAAAAUGAUUUACUUAACUAAUUUUUGUAGCGCAUUAAAAGGAGAUAGUCAUGGACAAGUGUUGGGCUGGUUUGCCAAAUAGAUAUCCAAGUCAUAUACUGAUGGGGUUGAAAAUUUUAUAGAUUUUGCAUUUGAGAAUGUUGUUG